rnacentral:lncRNA from 1 species
AUACUGAAAAAGUCUCCUGGCGGCUUUGGCUUUUGCCAAGAAGGGAUUCUGGUUAAUGGUGAAAGCUCCCCUGUGAAGUCAGAUUUGGUCAUCUUGGCUACUGGGUUUAGGGGCGAGAAAAAGCUCAAGGACAUGUUUGUGUCUCCCACCUUUCAGGACUACAUCCUCGGUUCGCCUAAGUCCAUAUUACUCCUUUACAGGUUAAGCUUAUUUCAUAGACCAUACCACAUUUACUGAUCACAUCUCUUAGAGAACAAAUUGUCUAUUUGAGUCUAAAUUUCGAAUGACGUGCGAUAUGUAAAUGUGGCACAAAUGUUUCUGUUAGGUACUUUUAUUAGAUACAGCAUUUGAAUAAGAAAAUCAUGUAUGAUUUCAUCUCAAUCAGGGAAUGCAUACAUGGAAGAAUUUCACAGCUAUCAGUAAUUGGAUUCUCCGAAAGUAUUUCGAACUUAUACACCUCCAAGAUGAGGUGCAGUAUGGCUAGCGGAGCUUCUCAGAGGCACAUUUAAGCUACCAAGCAUAAAAAGAGAUGGAUAAAGAUGUGGAAAAAUGGGACGCAUACGCAGUAUGGCUAGUGAAGUGAUUUUGAAAAAAAAGCUAGUAUCAAAAAAAGCUGGGGGCAUUUUUGUGUUUGAUAAACUUCCAACUUCAGUUUUUUUUCACAGUUUUGGAUGAAAAAAAGCCUAAAAACAGAAGCGGCAAAAGACAGUUUUUGAAAAACUGGCUUUUCAACUUCUGCGCAAACCUUUAAAACACGGGUGAACAGUGACCCUUUAAUCAAAGUUUCUGGCAAUCCUACCCUCCCUUCAUCUCUAUCAUCCCCUUUCUGCUCCUCCUAACUUCAUCUUUACCAAAGAUCUUUGAAGAUUUGUGUCGCCCCCACUGUGAAUCUAUCUCGUCCCUCCCCAUGAAGAUCCGAAUCGUCACCACCAGAGACCCACAAGGGUCGCCAGGAGGAGAGCAUGGAAGAGAUGGAGAAAGAUGUGAAAAAAUGGGACGCAUACGGGAAGCGAAGCGAUACACUUCCAGCCAAUACUACCGGAGAUCAUGCACCGGUGCCCUCCAUCUGUGGUACAAUGACCAGUUGUGCAAGGAUAUGGGAUGGAACCCCAAAAGAAAGAAGGGACUCUUUGCUGAAUUGUUUGAGCCUUAUGGCCCCAUGGAUUAUGCUUCCUCUUGAAAUGGUCAACAUCAACAUAAUAAAAAGAUUAGUUUUCCUUGUAUUUUGCUGCAUAACAGCUCAUGUUUGAACCUGUCGUUGUAUUCAAGCACUUGUAUUUUGUUGCAUAAAAGUUCAUGUUGAACCCAUCGUUGUAUUUAGGCAAUGCAUCUUUAAACUAAGAUGACGGUUUUGUUCCUGAUUUGCGUUUUAUAUUUCCAACCGAAACGAAAGCAUGCAAAUGGGUUAAAUUCUGUCCCCUUUAGUUUGAAGCAACUCAAUAAAAGGGUUGUAGUAUCGAGUGGAUUUCGAAGUAUUUUUGUUUUAUUUUUUAAACAAACGAUAUUAUCUAAAAACUCGUUUGUUCAAACUCGCAUUUGGCAAUAAUUGCCAUGGUCACGGGCUUUUCAAAGUCCUUUUGUGUAGCUAGAAACUUUAGCACCAGCUUCCAACGCAGCUUCCAGUGGCUGGAGCGCCCAACGGCAUGCCUCGUUGUCAAGCGUUGGGGAUUUGGGAGGAUCGACAACGGAAGGAGUGUGAAUUUGGUGAAGUCAAGGCCAAGAGAGAUGUAUCCAAGAAGUAGAAGCUACAUUGAUUCCAGGAAAAACAAUCUCAUGAAGACUUUAACUCCUGCGGUCUUAUAACUAAAGUUUGGAAUUGGACCGUAUUUGCUAACAUGACUCACCACGUGUUUAUUAUAACUUUUUCACCACGAGGAUUGCGGUUAAAGUAUGGUAAACUGUAAUUUACAAGAAUAUAUACUAAGGAAUAUUCAUGUCUGUUUUUCGUACCUAAAAAUUAUCAAUGAAUAUAAAAACGUAUAAUCAUGUAAUACAAAUAUUGAAACAAAUGCGCAAUUCGCAGCUGAAACCUCUCUUCGGCUUGUGGGAGAUACUCGGCCUAUGAUGUCAUUCAAUCGAAUUGAUUUUGCCAAUCUCAAGUGGCUAGCUGGGAAAAGAAGUGGAUCAUGCAGUUUUAGGCACAUUCUAAAACCUGGAAACAUGUUCCUAGUUCAUAGUUCAUAUAAAUCCUAUCUCUAAAUUUUAAAUAAGAUUUUAAAGGGAAAAAUAGAUGAGGCGGUGACAACAUUAACUUUUAACAGCUUCAUCGGCAUAUUCCAACUAGUCCGUCAAGAACCAGAGUGAAAAUAUUUUGCAGUUCUCGCAAAAAUGAAAACGGAAAAAUGCAGCAUUACACGAAUUUUGAAUGUCCACUAACCUGAGCUGUCUGGAAAUCCCUGUGCACGAACCACCACGGGCCUGAUUUUGACAGAUAUCUGAAAGGAGAACAGAAGAAAAACAAAGAUACGAAUAAGCAGCAACAGAGAUAGCGAUGAUGCUGAUAAACGUAAAAUCCAGAAAUGAAUAAUCAUUAUGCCUCUUCUACUAGCAAAAUAAGCAAAUGAUGUAUUCAUAUUUUAGCAUUAGAAGCCUUAGAUUUUAUUAUCACCAGGAGUUAUAAACCAGCCACUUACUUAAAGUUGGAUUAGUUAUCGAAAAGAGUAUUAUAUUCACGAUUAAUGUUGAUAAUCAAAAUUUGACAUGGUAUAUUAUUACCUGGCAUAGCCUGCGACUGCGCGCAAGCCCAUGAAGAGAGUCAAACCCAGCCAAACUCCAUGAAGGCCAAAGAUGGAAGGAGCAUAUAGCAAAAAUGCGGAAGAUAAUGCCCCCACUACCAUCUAUUAAUAAUAGAGAUUUUGUCAGAACCAAAAACAGAAAUAUGUACACUUUCAUAGUCAAAGUAAUAAUAAAAUGGAAACAAGUAGAUAAAGACUAUGAUGAUAAAAAGAGCGUGUCCAUACCUGACCAGAUGCAGCCAUUGCAUCAGUUAGAAGGGAUACAGCCAACCAUACUUGAAUACAUACAUAUCUUAUGAGCAGCCAUAGCUACUGGACCUUGACGAGCCGCCAUUGAUGUUCCCAAUGUCAAGGUCGUAUGACAAGCAACAGUUCGUCCAAGAAGAAAACCACCUCCAACAUCGCAGAGUUGUUACCAAAAGCAAUUAGGUAAGAAACUUUGAAUAUGAAGACGAGAGAAUUAUCACUGGGGUAAUGAAAGAAGUUUAACAACCAACACAAAGACAAAAGAAACAUUAAUAUACACUGCCCCGAUACAUGUGCACUGAAUCGGAAGAUAAAGUGAAAUACUAUGAUAGUCAAGAAAAUCAACGAAUCGGAGAGCUGGAAGAAAGCUGUAUAUAUUCAGAUAGAUGAGAGUAAAACGUUCAAUAAAAGGAAAUAAACUUACCGGAUUUAAGGUAUCCACCAAAUUGUAGUGAUCCAACCUUCGGAGGCAAUGGUAUAGCUCUCUUAUUUAGAAACCAGAUCAUUAAAAAGGUGACAGUGUAUCUGAAAAAACAGAUAUUCCAUAAAGUUCAUUUUCUAAUUACAGAUAAAAAAGGGUAAUAUUGAAAGAAAGUCUAUUGAAAAUCACAUACUGAGAUAUAACAGUGGAAAUGGCUGCACCAGUUGCACCCAAACGAAAAUAAUAAAUAUGGAGGGGCAACAAAAACACAGCUAACGAAUUACCAAUACCUGCACGAAAAACAAUACAUUGACUAAAAACAAAUGGAAAUCAACAAGUUGGAGACAUGAUUAUAAAUACACUGUGCAAGAAUAAUAGACCACUAUUAUGCGUGUGUUAUAUGGGCGUUGUGUGUGUGUGUGCGCGCCCGCGCGCGCGUAGAAAAACUAGACCUUCCAUCCCAAAAGCUUCAAUUAUUUCAUAUUCAAUCAAAAGAUGCUAAAGGCUAUUAGGACAUGUGUCACAAAUAUAUAGCAUUGUAGUGGAUAAAAAAGUGUUACACCACUUCCCCAGUGCUCUCCCCUCAGCAAGAUGCUGACAACAAUAGAUUAACCAGGCAUUUCAGCAGUCACACAAGACAAAUUCAUACUGCUAUCUAGAAAGGGAUGUCACUUGAACGUUUAAAAUAUAUAUAACCAAAAACUUGCCUAGACAUAGUACUGGAGUUUUUGUAUCCUUAAAUCCACGGAAAACUCCUUGAAGAGCCAAAGAUGCUACAACUGCGGGAGCACCAAAUGCUCUUAGUUGAUGAAAUCGUUGUGCUUGAAUGCGCAUAGGUGAGUCCUGUGAUAUUCGGGGGGAAAAAAGAUCUUCCUUAAAUUAAACAGUCAAAUAUGAGAGGGGAAACCAGAAAACGUAUAAGUUCCCCCCAUAACCAAAAAUAAAAAAUCAAAUUGAGUAACCGCACAUGCACAAGAACUAGAAACUUGUAUAGUAAUUGUUCACAUAUAUAUAUAAUUGCAUUUAUGCAUACAAAAAAAGAAAGUUUGUAUAAUCAUGUAAAAAGAUAUAAGACAAGGAAGACAAACAAAUCAGUAUGAGAAGUAAUUUUAGAUCAGGUAACCUACUGAUGAUAUGCCCAUCAUAUUUAGAAACAACCCAGAUCCCAAAGACAGAGCCAUGGCCUCAAAGAUUCCAAUCCCAACUGCUAACUGUAAAGCUGUAGACACUGAAGAUAGCUGCUUUCUCUCAACGACUCCAUCAACAGGUUUGGGUUUACCAUUAGUAUUGCCGUCUAGAUAACCAUUUUCUGUACGAAAAUCAGCCAAAAUCAGAUUCCCAAAAAAAAAAAAAAGUUUAAGUAAUCUCUGCUCUAAGUUAGACAUAAAGACAGACCAAAUAUGUGUACAACAAAGAUGACCAGGGAAGUAAAACAAAAGUUGAACUUCGCCUGAAGUAGAACCUUUACUUUCACUCUUAGCAAGGUCUUCAGCAACAAAAGAUGUAGCAACACUGAGGAGAGGGAUAUUAAAUGUCUUUGAGAUAUAAUUAAAGAUGUUCAUUGAAAUACCAGCUGAAGCCAAUUCCACGGAACCUAUGGAAAAACAGAAGCAAAAUAAUAAGGAGCUCCAAAUUCAAAUCAAUUAUACAGUUAUCAGUCAUUGAACACGUUUAAAGGAGUGAAACAAACCCAAAUUGCCAAUGUAUGCAGUCUCCAUUAGUUGUGCUAAUGGAUCAAUGGCCUGACCCAUAAUUGGUAAAGAAAGCAUCAAUAGCUCGCUUUUGACAUCUGGAGAAUAUGUUUCACUGAUAGAAAUGUUAUUAAACUCUAACCCAAAACAAACAAAAAACAAUGCUUAACAUAGGUAGCUUAGUUCUUGGAUCAACUAAAAACUAUGAGUAAUAAUAACAAUUUCAGAGAUUCGCUGAAAUAGACAAUUCCCGAUAGCUAUUGACGGUAAUAUUUCUCAUAUAAGCUUCAUAAUCAAAAUUAAGUGAAUAAAAAACAAAAUUAACUUGCUUGCACUUAUAAACCAAACCACAUACGAAGGGAGGGACUAGAAGAUGAAGGGAUUGGGAGGCUUCCAUCAAAAGUAGAAAAAUUUAUCUAAAGCUAUCAUGCUCAGUCACCAGCCACUCUACAAACUCAUAAUUUAUUUUUUUCAAACGAUAAGAGCAUCAAUCAAGAAAAAAAAAAGUUCACAACAAUAAAAGCAGCAUUUCAAGAAACUAAAGGAACAAAAAUUUUAAUAUAACAAGGUAAUGUAGGCUAUAAGGUCUUACAGGUCACCACUCCCUACACCUAUGAGAGCUUCCUCUUCCUCCAAAACCAACUUUCCUUCCACCUCAGAGGAUCCCACACCCAAAUCCGAACUCAAUUGAUUAGCCACCACCGGGAAACAGGGUCUUCUGCGGCGUGUCACUAGCAGUGUGCACAAUGCUCUUCGUGUAGCAUACAGAUUGCAUCCCCCCACAACAUUGACAUUGUUCAAAUCCUUCCUACCACUUCUUGCUACAAUAUUACAAUCUCCCCUUCUGUGCAAUGAAUUAAACAACCUAGACUUUUGAGUUAUCGGGUUGCGGUCACUGGCUCGGGCGGUUAAUCCGUUAGAAAGGGCGCCACUUCUGAACUGGGCGAUUAAUCCUCGAUUAGAUUAAGGAGAUCACUCUACAGAUUGAAACAAUCCGGGCUGAUGUGGUAUAACCAUCUAAGUGAAUAUUUGACAAGUCAGGGUUAUGUGAACAAUGAACUAUGCCCAUGCGUGUUCAUUAAGAAGUCACAUUCCAGAUUUGCGAUCGUUGCAGUUUAUGUUGACGACAUGAACCUCAUCGGAACUCCUGCAGAGCUUGAGGAAAUAGCCGCGCACUUGAAAUCGAAAUUUAAGAUGAAAGAUCUUGGGAAAACUCGAUAUUGCCUCGGCCUGGAGAUCAAGCAUUGUUUAAAUGGAAUCCUAGUACAUCAAUCGAAUUACACCUAAAAGGUGCUACGACGUUUUAAUGAGGAUAAAGCGAAGCCUUCGAGUGCUUAUAUGGUCGUUCGGACUCUAGAUGUUAAACGAGAUCCCUUCCGUUCGAAGCGAGAUGAGGAAGAGAUUUUGGAGCAUAAAGUUCCAUACCUAAGUGCGAUUGGUGAUUUAUUGUACUUGGCUCAAUGCACUAGACCCGACAUCUCCUUCGCUAUUAAUCUUUUGGCUAGAUACAGCAACACCCCUACACACAGACAUUGGAAUGGUGUUAAAGACAUUUUCUGCUACCUCAAGGGUACGAUGGAUUUGGGCUUGUUCUACACCCACAAAUCCUUGAGAAAAGCUGCCACCCCCCUCGGUCCUCGGGUUGAUUCACGCCUCACUGGUUACGCAGAUGCUAGCUAUAUGUUUAACCUACAUAGGGCACGUUCUCAAACGGGUUAUGUCUUUACCGGUUAAAAAAAACCGCUAUAUCUUGGAGGUCUACCAAGCAAACGCUAGUUGCGACUUCUUUGAACCAUGUUGAGAUUAUCGCCCUGCAUGAAGCCUCGUGAGAGUGCUUUUGGUUGAGAGCAAUAAUGGAACAUAUUCGAAGCACUAGUUGUCUUUCUCCCAUCGUUGACCUUCCUAUGACGAUCUUUGAAGACAAUGCAGCAUGUAUCGAGCAGUUAAAGAAUGGAUGCAUCAAGGGAGACAACACCAAGCACAUUGCACCCGAAGUUCUUUUAUUCUCACCAACAACAAUAACAUUAAAACAUUGAAGUCAAGCAAAUCCGUUCCCAAGACAACCUGGUCGAUCUCUUCACGAAGUCAUUGCCCAAGUCUACUUUUCAAAAGCUCGUCCAAGGAAUCGGUAAUGUAAAUUAUCUGGGUUGAAUUGCUUGUACUUCUCUUAUUUGGAAGUUAUGUCUAACUCAGAGAAGUAUCCUAAAGCAUACUCACUUGAUCUUAAUGUACUCUUUUUCCUACAAUUAUGAGCAUUUUUCCCACUGGGUUUUUGCUACCUAACGAGGUUUUGAUGAGGCACCCAUCCUGGGAUGAUCAUACUCUGUUGAGUACACUAUUUUCGUCCUGUUUGACGUUUGUUUUAGACAUUAUGCGUACUUCUAACUUUUCUCAUUAGUCUAUGGGUUUUCCCCAUAACUUGGGUUUUACCAUGGCGAGGUUUUGCGAGUUUUACUACCAAUGCAUACUUUCUUAUAUCUGAGACUCGCAUUCACCCGUUGUGCCGACGACUUUAUCAAUCGUUCUACCUUAUAUGUUGAAUAUCUGAUGCGACGUUUUGUUUGAGUAUUUACACACUCAAGGGAGAGUGUUGCAAUCCUAUCGAAUUAGGAAUGCGAUUGUGUAAAUCCUAGUGUAUUUAGGAGUACCUUGUUUUUUCCCAAUAGUAAUUUAAUUCCUAUUAGAGAUGUAAUCCUAUUAGGGUAAGGAUUCUACCUAUCCUACUACUAUAAAUAAAGGCAUAAGGGGGUGAUACAACACACACCUCAUAAUUAAAUCUCUCUUUUCUCUCUCUGUUGCCACCAGCCCCUCUCAUUCUCUGUCCUUUAUAUAGUUGUUUAGGCCCAAAAUAUUGGUUUUGGCCAAGUUUAGAAUUGUUCUCGACCCGGAAGUGUUGCUCAAGGGCCGGCCGUGUUCUAUCAGGAUGGGGUAGUUGAAUCCUGAUACAAUAAGAAGUCUCGGCAGGAUGAGGAUGCUGAAACUUGGGAAUGAAUACGGCCUUAUAAGGAGUUGAGUUCAAAGUCCUGAUAGAAGUAGAACUGGCCGAGAUAAGAUUGGAUCGGGGUGAGAAGUCCUAAUCUGAGUAUAGUUUUCAUUCGAUCAGAAGCAUUUUUGCUACUAUAAAUAGAGGGAAAAGUGCAUCGUUCAAGCCCCCUCCAAUCCAACACACAAACUGCCCUGUGCAAACCCUCGCUUUACACAAAAAACCUCUCAACAACCUUGAGAUUUUUAUUUUCUUUUUUUGCCGACACAUCUUCAGUUUAGAUAAAGAGCACUGUGAAGGCAACAUGUGAUACCUUCAGUUUAGAUAAACAACAUUAUCGCCGUAGAACCAGCCGACCGCGAAACAUCUUUAGUUUGGAUAAACAGCACCGUGUCGAGGCCGAUUGGUUAUCUAUCCAAGUCUCAGUCGAGAAAGACUUUUGGGUCUUUAUUGGCAGAGGUCAUCUCAUUAGCCUUUUCGGCGAGGUGAGGUGUUCCAGUUUAUUAGGGCUCAGCACAUUGAACGCCGAGUUGUUUUAUGAUUGGAUACUUGUAUGUAAGCUUCAGAGUUCGGCAUUCUGACGGCCGAACCACAUUUACCAUUAAGACAUAUAUCUGUUUUGAGUAUUUGUGCCCCUAUACUCUGGUGUUUAUUCAGCAUGCUUAUACCCUUACAAAUAUAAUCACUAUGACCGAAUUUGGCGCCGACAAUUUGUGAACUUUGUAAAAUUAGCAACCUUGUCUUCAGGCUCUAGAACCCAAAGGUCAAGAGUGUUCUUUCCUCGGCCGCGAUCGUAAGAUCAAGAAGUCAGCAACGCACCUAACGCAACAUCAACAUAUUUUACUCAGCCUAGCUCGACCAACGAGUUGUCACGCCCCACAUCAACCGAAGAACGUAGUUAGCUUAUUAGUUACUCGGCCUGCGCGCCACAUAGGCUUGGUAGUUUUUAGGGUCAAUAUUUUGGCAUGCCUGGUAGGACCAAGUGUGUUAAAACUACAAAGUUCAUGACCAUCGAGACACGAUCCGUUAAAAAAGAAAACAAUGAUGGGAAAGUCAACGAUCGAUAUGCUAAUUCAAAGUCCUGGACAAGAAGUGUCGCAUAUGCGAAAUCCCCUCGUUGUUGCGACCCUUAAGGCUGUAAAUGUGACACACCGAGAAAAUGAGGUUUGUCUCGGUACCCAGCCCCGAAACAUAGAAGUACCUAACCAAAUCGUAAGAGUUUUCAUUGAAGGAAUAAUUGAGGACUGGGACGAAGAUAGUGGUGAAGGUUCUGACCCUCCAACUAGGUCGUUUCUUUGAAGACCACUUAACGAGCAAUCUCGGUAGGUUAAACAGAUAAUUAUCCAAAAGAUGAACAGUUUGCUCAAGGUAAUACGGAGUAAUGGUGAGACAUACACCUAAUUGCUCGAAUUAUUAGUUAGCAGAGUCUUCGCAAGAGGACCUGCUGAUCAGUCUCGACAAUUUCCACUCAAAAGUAAUCCAUUACAGGUAGAAGUAGGAUCUACUCAGCUCAAAACAAUUGAUUUGGAAAAAAAAAAAGAUCAAGUAGUAGGUCAGAUGGAUCCGACCAAAGAGUAGAAGUAGCAUCCGUCGAUAUGAUCGUGGUCCAAAGGAUGAUCGAUUCAGCCAUGAAAAAGGGGUCAAAGUUCCCGAAAUUCAUCCAUCCAUAUCCAGCUUAUGUGGAAAAAUUCAAAUAUCCUAAAGGCUUCAAGAUCCCAGAUUUCAGCCUUUUUGCUGGAGAAUCGUCCUUGUCCUCGUUAGAACAUGUGGCCCGGUUCACUGUGCAAAGCAGAAAUGUCAAUAGUGAUUUCCAUAAAAAUGCGACUGUUUAACUUUUCGUUGAUGGGCUCAGCAUUCGCAUGGUAUAUCAACCUCCCACUUAAUUCCAUCCAAAGUUGGGAGAAGUUGGUCGAGAAAUUUCACAAACAACUUUAUUGGUCCGGGAUGGAAAUGUCAUUUUCUUCACUGGCUACGAUGGCUCAAGCAUUCGAUGAGUCACCAAUGGACUAUCUUACAAAGUUUAAAUCUGCCAGGAAUUAGUGCCGAGUACAUCUACCCGAAGUCGAAUUUGUUAGGCUUGCUCUAAAUGGGCUAGACGUGGAGUACAAAAAAAAGAAAUUCAUGGGGGCAAACUUCCAGGAUAUGUAGGAAUUAGCCCAAAUGGUGGUCGACGUUGAUCCAUUCCCUUCGGCAACAGUUGGUAUGGUAGACGCCCAUUUUCCCAAGAGCAAAGGGAAAAGGAACGCCUAGUUUGUUCCAAUACAACACGUCCCAAAGCAAAACUUUCGACCACAACUCAAAAUUGAUCUAUUUUCCAUUAAACCGCCCACCAAGUUUUCAGGAUCGGUCAUAGUAGAAUCUAUGUCAGACUCCAAUGCAGAAGAAACUGACGGGCCAUGGUUUUGUGCAGCAAUUGUAAGGCACGCAUCGUAUUAACCAAACAGAAUGAGAGAACACCUCAAACUCCAACACCACGGCAAUCAUCCAAGGAUGCGACGACACCCGCUAGAAAGUGUUCGAUAGGCUCGACCCUCAAGAACGGACAGACGGCCCUACCUUGGCCAGACGACGCCUUGAUUUCGACGCGCCGUUUUAUAACGAGGAUUAUUACUCGAGUAAUUCCAGCAAUUCAAGUUCAUCGGCGAAUCAAAAAACCUUCAGGCCUCUUGAGUCACGCAACCAAUGUUGGUACAGUUACAACUCUCACACUGGCAUGUAUACUACACUAUCCAAAUCUCAAAAACGUCGACGCCAGUGGAUAUAUUGCAUGGCUCGACGACAGGCAGCCCAGAUCGUUUCGGCAGCUAAAUGGCAGCCGAAAGAAGCGAUAAGAAGCUGAGAUGAUCGACAAACCCUAACAAUUAUGGAUGAAUUACAAGGGCGAAAAGGAACCGAUCGCAACUUUGAAACCACUAUUGAUGAGUCCGAGAAGCGCAUCAAACUCCUCAUUCGGCCUAGCGAGAUGAAAGUUUGUUUCAAGUUGUUUGGGAAAGACGUCAAAAGCAAACUUUCCCCAUUACUCCCGCAAAAGUCAUUAAUAAGAGUUCGACAAAAUCUAUACCCUUCAUUCCUCGGUGAAUCCUUGGAGUACAUGAGAGAGUUUCAUAAGAAAUAUUCUGCCAACGAUUUGUACGGCCUACCCAAGGCGUGUCAAGAAGCUAUCGACCUGGCACUAAUUUGUCUUGAUGCUGAACAAAUUAUCCAAAAAACCACCGAUCCAGUAAUGAAGGCCAGGUUCCAGCACAUACAAGAAGCUAGGGUCUUUGGCUUCGAGGUCAAUCCAUACACGGACAUUGAUAUGGCCGAGCUUCCCUUUUCUCUUUAAAUACCUUCAAUACUUAUGACACCACUUCGAAGUCUUCUCGGCCGUAUCUCUCUUCGGUCUUAUAGCCGAUGAAGAAGAUCGGGUAGCAUGUCUGGACGCCUACCUAGAUACAAGGGACAUUCGGAUCGCCUAUGAAGGACGAGCCCGUAAAGCACUGUAGGGGCAAAGUCAGACACCAUAAACGAACAGGCUCGAAGACGACAGUUAGAAGGAAGCAAGGACGGGUUGCAUAUCACAAGUGCAAGUACCUGUUGAGGCAUACGAUGAUCAGGCCGAGGAUGCUCUAACACACAAUGCUGCAAUCCUUGAUAACCUGGAAGACGACGACCAAGAUCCGAUGGGCCCUUUGGUUCUUAAGAACAUGGAAAUUAGCAUGGUUCAUGUUCUACCAGCUGAAUUCCAGCCAACUGCACACCAACCAAAUUUCUUGGAUGGUGAUGUGGUUGUCGAAGAAGCAACACAAGUAACACACCCCGAUCCAGAUAUUCCCCAAAUACCAGCAUAGGCACGUGCUAGCCGACACCCGAGGGUGAUGAAAGCCAUUUAUUAAGUGCAAAUGUUGAAAACAAGGGAUAGAUAAGACUUAGAAAUAUAAAAGAAUAAUGAAUAUGCAUUUAAGGAACGUGUUCAGAGCAUACAACUAACUUAAAUACUAAAAGAAAUAAUAUAAAAAAAAAUUGAAUGAACACCAAGAAGACUCGAAGAUGCCGCUGUGGAAGUGCCUUGACGCCGGGAUUGUAUGCCUUGAUUCUAAGUCCUGAAUGCGGGCGCAAAACAAAUGUGAGUGGACCAAGUUCAUAUAUACAGUAAUAAUAAAACAGUUAUUAAGAUACUAACCCCCACAGUUUAUAUACAGAAAACUACUAGCAUAAUAAGUGAUACGUUUACUAAAAACCCUAGCAUGCCAAAAACAUCUCAAAAGACAUAUCGCGGAAAUCAAAACAUCAAUCGUCUCGUAAUCGCAGUGUGCUGCCAGUAAGAUCACUGAAUAAAUAUAACUCUUGGCCCUAUGCCAGCAUCGUGGUCUCUGCGCCCGUAGCCAGAGAUUACCAACUCUCGGCCCAAUGCCUGCUUCGUGUCCCUCAGCCCGUAGCUAGGGAUUAUUUCUCCCAGCCUAUCUGCCAACACCAGAUCCUCGUCCCAAUCGGCAUAGUGUCCACUAGGUACGCACAAAUAGUUACGCCUCUCAUAAAUAACCACUUCAUAGUAUAAAGUCAUCCAUCGUCUAUACUAUAAAGAGGGGUUUUGAAAACAUGUUCUAUCAUCCUAUCGUCAUCCAUCAGAUAGUCUACAAGUUCAUGGUUUUUAUAGAAAAUACGAUAUAUCAAACUAUAGCUCAAUAUAGACUAAUAAUUAAUUAUUCACAAAAAAUGAGACGAUAAACAACAUAUUCCAUAAACCUGCUUAACAUAAAAUCAGUUCAUAAACUCGUAAGGCAUGCAUUUCAUUUAUGCAAAUUUUAGAAGAGGUCCACUCACAGUACUCCGUAGCAGCAGAAAUGUGCGGAACAGGAUUAGGGAAAUCCCCACUAGCAACUUCACCUAAGCACAAAAUUGUACAAUUUAUCAAACUACCCAACUAUAGAAUUUCAAGAAAUGGAAAUGGGUCUUGGGUUUGGAUCCGGAUUAGGGUUUAGGUUUAGGUUAAACAGGGUUAGGAUCUAUUAGGUUUUGGGUUUGAAUAGUUUAGGAACGAAAGGGGUGCAACACACACACACACACAUGCAUGGCACAACACACCCACACACGGCACAACACACACAUACACAUGUGCACCACACACACGUGCACCAUACACACUCACGCGGACUCACCAUACACGCACACACCCACACGAACACACACACACCACACACCAAACACUCAACCCACAUACACUCGGCCCGCAGGCCUAAUAGCCAAAGAGAAAGUUGGGAUUAACCCACUUGAAUAAAACCGAUCCGAGGCACCUUUGGGCUUUUAAAACAAUUAGCUGAAAAUUAAAAGGAAACGGGCUGGGUUUUAGGGUUCUGGGCUGGUCCAAAUACGGGCUAAAGCCCGUGGGUGUUCUAAAAUGGCCUGAUGACCUGUGGGGUGUCGGGAAAGAACACCGGAGCUGUUAUAGCUCGGGCCGACGGCAACGUAUAAACCAAGCUCCCAAAAUGCAGAGAAAAACACAGCUGAAGUGAUAAGAACGAGAAUAUACCACUGUGAGUCUUAACCGUGGUCGAGAAUGGCUGGGUUGGUCAUAGAACUCGUCGGGUUUUCUCGUCGAGUUCUGGAAAACAACAAUAGAGUGCAUGCACAGAUUAUUACAGGGGUUUUAGACCUUAGAUUUCAAGUCGAUUUGAACAUGCAAGGCUUGAGGAUGAUACCUGAAACAUUAUAAGGGAAAUCUCGAGCCAAAACAGAGACUGGAAGGCUAAGCUCCUCCCUAGAUUCAGUAAGAACUAUGAAGCUCUUUGUUCAGCAUCACCAUUCGAUUUCCUAAGCCACAUAUAUGCUCAAUUUGAGGGUUUGGAGGUACGAUUUAAAUGGAGGUUUAUGAUGGUGGUGGUCUGUGGCAUUCGAUGCAGAGAAGAGAGGUGAGAGAGAGAAGGCGAGUGAGAGAGUGAGUCACAAGGAAGGGACAAAGAGAGAUGAGGUUUGUUAAGGUGUUGCCACGUGGCAGUUUAAGGGAGUUUAGGAAUCUAGAUAAAGGGUCCAUAUUUAGUCAAGCUAGGGGACUAAAAUGAAAUUUUAUUAAAACUUUGGGAAAUUAUAAAAUUACAUAUAAAUUCAGGGGUGGGGUUUAACACAAGUCAAUUUCGUCGCCACCGUCGAAGAUGGGCAAGCAAAUAACGACGAAAAACUUAGAACACCAAUUCACCCGCAAUAUCAAGACAUCGACAUUCCCCCUCAAGAAGCGACUUCGGCUUUUGUAAGACUCGAUUACUUUCUCUUGUUAACUUUGCUAUAAUGAGUCUGAACCGAGAAAAAUAUUACAUGUCAAGUACCCAAUUAUUCAUUUCACCGAAAAUUUUAUGCGCCGAAAGGCGUUGUCUAUAUUUCUUGGCCACCUCAGUGGCCGUUGAAAGUAGAUAACCUUCAUCGGCCGCAUGAAUUGAGAAGCAGUCUAAAACACUGGGCUCAGCCAUUAAGCUUUCUAGGUUCGUGUACCUGUAAAUGUCGAUAAUAUUGUGUAUAUUAAGAAAGAAAAAGGAUAAUACCUUAGAUACUCAGUAGUAAGUACUCUAUGUACACACUUUCUAAUUUCGCCCAAGCAAAAAAUGCUACCUGUUUCUUAUGUUUUAGGGUGCGUUUGUUACACCGGACUGUCUCGGACUAGAUUAGCUGCAGGGACUAAGCUGGACUGGCUUGGACUAGACUAACUUGGACUAGUUUAGUGAAGUGUUGUUGCAGUAUCGGACUAGGAAGCCUAAUUAUAAUAUUAUAUUAUUUAAUCUAUAUCUAUUGAUAUUUUAUUAUUAAUUUAAUCUAAUAUCAAUUAAUAUUUAUUAUUUCUUUAUCAUUUUCCACUUUUCUAGAGUCAUCUUCUUCUCUAAUCUUUAUACAUCUCAAUUUUUUUUUUCUCAUUGUUUACUCCGCCAGUGUCGCCUUCCACUCUCCCCUUUUCCUCCUUUUUCUACUCCGCCCCCUCCCUUUCUCUCGUUUCACCUUUGUACCACUAUCCUCUCUCCCCUCUCUCCAUUUGUACUUAUUUUGUUUCACCUAAUAUGAAAAGCUUAAUGCGGAUGCUAGAGUUGCAGGUAAGCAGAGAGAUCUCAAAUUGCGAAGAUCGUUCUCGGAUCUUAAGUUCUUCAGGCGAAGAUUGAUCUCUCUGUUUUCUGGGUCUGAUUCAAGUUCAAUCGAAGAAAAUGGAGAACCCAUUUCUGCAUAUCGACCAAGUGUUCUUUCGUGGGUUUGUCGGGAAAUCAAGGUUGUGGGUUCAUCAGGAAAUCUAAGAUGUGGGCUCGUCGGGAUUUGCAGAUUUUGUUUCUUUUUUAUCCAGAAAAAAGAAUUGCAAUUGAUGAGUUUGGCGUCGGAGAUGAAGUCGUGCCCGAAGUCUUUGCCGUCAAAAUCGAGGUCGAGGAGGUGAAUCAAGCAGGACGAAGGGAGAUGCUGUCGAAAUCGAGGUCGAGGAGGUGAAUCAAGCAGAACGAAGCGAAGUUCCUAGCUAAUCUCGUGGUUUUUGGGGGGGACUCGUGAAGACCGGCUAGCGACGCCUCUAGUGAAAGCGAGUCCCAAUUAAUCUCAUUAACUCUAGUCCCGCAAGCCACCAAACACAAGACUACAAUCCAAUCCAGUAAAGGCUAACAAGGGUAAACAAACGCCUUUUUAAAGUCUAAAAAAGUAGCAUGUUCAUUAUUUUUUGGACAAUACUUGGGUACACACCAGGAAUACCUAAUAUACUGACUAAUCCUAUAAAAAAAACGACAUGUGUCAUUUUGAAACUGCACACAUCUAAAAUUCACGUCGGCACGAAAUUAUUUUUAAUUACAUCCUCCCCAUUUAUUAAUGAAUACGGUAUAAAAUCAAAAGCAUACGGUGACCGAUAUCCAACACUUUCAGAAAUGGGAAAGCAGGUGGCCAUUGUAGGAGCUGGGAUUAGUGGCCUCCUUGCCUGCAAGUACACACUUUCAAAGGGAUUUCAACCUAUUGUGUUUGAAUCUACGAGCAGCAUUGGAGGAGUGUGGACCAAAACUAUUGAGUCUACCAAGCUCCAAACUCCUAAACCGCUUUACCAAUUCUCAGAUUUUCCAUGGCCAUCUUCAGUGGAAGAGGACUUUCCUAGCCAGCAUCAAGUUUUGGAUUACAUCCAAUCAUAUGCUCAACAUUUUGACUUGCUUAAGCACAUCAAAUUCGACACCAAAGUGUGUGGGAUUGAGUAUGAAGGUGCAUCUGAGGAUGAGAUGCAGGCUUGGAGUCACUGGGGUGGAACAGGAGAGCCUUUCAGCUCCAAAGGGAAAUGGAAAGUUGCAGUAGAAGACAAACAUAGCCGUUCAACGGAGGUGCCUUCUUAUUUUUAAGUGCAUAGAUAUAUGUAUACAUCCUUUCGAAUUUAAUUAUGUUAUGCUUUCAUACUGUCAAUUUUUAAGUCAUACUGAUCUGAUUAUGCAUAAGCAGGUUUACCUUGUGGACUUUGUGAUCCUCUGCAUCGGACGGUUUAGUGAUGUUCCAAACAUUCCUGAAUUCCCUUUCAACAAGGGGCCAGAAGCAUUUCAUGGGGAGGUUAUACACUCAAAGGAUUACGCCGCAAUGGAUUACGAAAGAGCGCGUAACUUCGUGAAAGGAAAGCGUGUAACAGUUGUUGGAUUUCAGAAAUCUGCACUGGACAUUGCAAUGGAGUGUUCGAACACAAAUGGUAGCUAGUUUCGUGAAAAUUAAUUGAUUGUCACAUGGCAUGUGCCCAGAAUAUUGUGAUCAUUUUGUUCAUAGUUUGUAUUACCUAUUCUUCUUGAUUAAUUGGUUGGUUUGCAGGGAUUGAGCAUCCAUGCACAGUAAUUUACAAGACAGAGCAUUGGACUCUUCCUGACUAUCUUCCAUGGGGUGUUCCCCUGACAUACCUAUACCUUAAUCGCUUCUCGGAGCUGUUGAUUCAUAAGCCUGGUGAAGGCAUCCUACUUGGUCUCCUUGCCACAAUUCUUUCACCUCUGGUAAACUUUUUUAUAUUUAUUUUUCAUGAAUUUUUUUUAUAAGCAAUAAUGUUGUAGGUUAAAUAAUUAGUUGUUAGGAAGGGGAAUCAGUGAGGUUCAAACCCUCACCGUGGUGCUUGAAUUGCUUACUUUCCACCACUACGGUAAAGCCUCAUCAACUUAUCUUUUCUGAACUUAGUAUUAAUCAAUUUGUAAAAAGAGGAGUUUAUUAAGAAUAUAUUUUGUGAAUUAUAACAGAGAUGGGGAUUUUCAAAAUUUGUUGAAAGCUACGUAACUAAGAAGCUUGGGUUGGCCAAGUACGGAAUGGUACCUAGGCACAGUUUUCUUCAAGAAAUCAGUUCUUGUCUGAUCUCAACACUACCGGAAAAGUUCUACGAUCGAGUCCAAGAGGGAAGCAUCAUACUGAAAAAAUCCCCCGGCAGCUUCAGCUUUUGCCAGGAAGGCGUUUUGGUUGAAGGGGAAGUAUCCCCUGUGAAGACAGAUGUGGUGAUACUCGCUACUGGGUUUAGAGGUGAUAAAAAGCUCAAAGACAUCUUUGUGUCUCCUACCUUUCAGGAUUAUAUAGCUGGUUCGCCGGAGGCCAUAUUACCCCUCUACAGGUUAGCUCCUCUGAAAGCACAUUGCGGCAAGUUUAUGCUAAAUAUACCACAUUUUCUGAUCAUAUCUCUCACAUAACUCUAGUCCGAGUCCCAUCUAUAUCUAGCUAGGUCUUAAUUUUGUGAGAUAAGUGAUCAGUAAAUGCAGCAUGCACAUGUAGAUUUAUUUGGUCAUUUUAUUAACUACUGUAACAUUUAAAUCUGAUGGCUCAUUAUGCUUCUAUUUCAAUCAGGGAAUGCAUACAUGGACGAAUUCCACAACUAGCCGUAAUUGGAUUUUCCGAGAGUCUUUCAAACUUGUACACCUCCGAAAUGAGAUGCAGGUGGGUAGCUGAGCUUCUUGGACGCACAUUUACGUUACCAAGCAUAAAAGAGAUGGAGAAAGAUGUGAACGAAUGGGACGGAUUCGCAAAGCGAUACGCGGGCAAAUACUAUCGGAGAUCAUGCAACGGUACCGUUCAUAUAUGGUACAAUGACCAGUUGUGCAAGGACAUGGAAUGGAACCCUAAAAGAAAGAAGGGACUAUUUGCUGAAUUAUUUGAGCCUUAUGGACCAUUGGAUUAUGCUCCAUCUUAAAAUGUUCAAUAGUGCGUUGACUUAAAAAAUAAAUCUACCUUUCCUUUCCUUUCAAAUACGUGUUAACUUAAAAGUUACAUCAGUUGUGCGUUACUAUGUAAUAAUAUUCGAGAAGAAUUAUUUUUGAUAUAUUUUCUUGAGAAAUGAUAGUCACUCUUUUUUGUCUUGCAUAUAUUCAUUAUUCACGUUUUUAGAUUUUUGUGGCAAAUCUGUCAUGACUAUUUCUCUCAUAGAUGAAUACAAAAAAUUAAGAUGAAGAAAUACACACCAUCAAUGAGAAAUUAGGAAUUCAGAGAUGAAUUCCAGCAAGAAUUACAUGAACAGCAAAGCGGAAAAGGAUUGAGAUGUCAACAAGCCGUGAGGCAGUUGGAGAGUGCAAUUGCAAGAAAAUAUCUUGAUUUCAUUUCAUAAAUAAUUUCAGUGUACGUAUUGGUAUAUAUAGAGAUACAAAUCUGAUGACCUUUCUACCCUUAGUUAACCUAGCUAAUUACAGACAAGUCCCUAACUAACACAAGUAGUUUGUUACAAUUUCAUAGCAGUACAAGUAAUAUUUGACUCAUUACCAGCUACUCAUACCUAUUUCAAUUUCUACAUAAAACAACAUGCAUUGGAAUAAUCUGCUCAUUCUGCGAAAUGCACUGGAACUGUGCUGCACCUUUUUAUUUGAUUUUUAUUUUAUUAUAACUUUUUAUUCUACAUAAAUAAUUUGUAAUUUAUGAUUUAUUUAGGAAUAUUUUAAAUUUUAGUUGGAUGUCGGAAGAAAGUUAAAAAUUCAAGUGAAGAUGUAUAAAGACAAAGGUGUAUAAAAAUUAAGUGUGUGUUGUAGGCCUAUUUGAUUGAACUGUUGUUGACCUUAAAAAUUACCAAGCCUACGUGGCACGCAGACCGAGUAGCUAGUGAGCUAACUACGUCAUUCGGUUAAUACGGACGCCACAACCCGUCACAUCAACAUUAAAAAUAAAAAUAAAAACCAAAAAACCAGUUUUCACAGAGCGAAAGAGAUAAGGAGAUCGUUCCUUCUGUUCGGUUUCGGUAGAAUAUGAGAAGUUUUGGCCCGCUACAAAUCACAAUUUUCCUCUCAAUUGAAUUUGUGAAAUGGCGAUUUAGGUGUUCGUUGUUCCAAAUCACAGUCGUUGUUGAGGCAUCGUUCCGAUCGCGACGGUGGGGUGUAUUUGCUGUGAGAGAAACACACGCAGAGGAGAGGGAGUGCAAAUGGGUAUUUUGGGUAGAAAAUUUUGAUUCCUGAUGUAACCUUCUACCCAGAGUCCAAUUACUACCCCUAUAGAGGUAAUCCAAUUCCGGGAUAUUAAGGAAUUGAACUCCCGAUAUUGGGUAGGCCCUACAUAAUUUCUAAUUCCCUACUUGCUGGUAAACGCCAAAAUACUUUGCGAGGAGUGCAAUUCUGUUUCUCCACAUUCCAACCCCGAUUGGUAAACACGCCCUAAGGGUUUUUAUUCCCACGGGAGGAAGCUUUUUUCCAUCUUACAUUUAUUUAAUUAACUUUAAAUAAUGCUGCAAAAUGUUUUUGUUAAAAAUAAAUGAAUAAAUAAUUAGUGUUUUUUGUUCGUGUACAUUUAGUACUAUUCUUCUUCACUUGUAAGUGAGAGGAUUUAGGUUUGAUUUUCGCAAAAUGAAAGCUUAAAUUACAUUAUUGUGGUUAGCCGAGUGUGUGGCUUAAUGCACUCUCUCAUCCUCUUAGUGUAAAUAAUAUAUUUUGUUAAAAAAAUAGUUGAAUGAGUACUUGCAACCAAAAGUUAAAUGUGUUAGCUUGGAUUAUUCCUAGGAACUUGGUUCUCUCGUACAAUUAAAUAUGUAUAUGAAGCCUACAAAUUGUUAUACCCACAAAUGAUUCAUAUAAAUAUAAGUGGCGUAUCAUCAAUCUAAGUGUUUUAAGCGUUUACCCAAUGCACAAUUUCUUUUGGACGACGUACGUCAAAUAAGGUGGCAGAUAGAUUGGCGAGGCUGGGUCUCACUCUUGAUUAUCAAUGACUGUACGUAUUCUAUUACUUAUCAAUGCAUAUCGUACUGUUUUCAAAAAAAUAAUAAUAAUAAUAAUAAGUACUUGCAACCAUAGGUUAUUUUCAAUGAUUCAUAUAAUUUUCGUUCUCUCCUAUAUAAAAUGUAUCUGAGAUUCUGAAGCCUGCAAAUUUGUUAAAGUGUAUACCCAAAAGUAAUUACUUCCUCCCAUUUAUAUCAAACACAAAGUACUCUAUAUCAAACAAUUAAUUAUCAAAAAUGGGAAAGCUGGUGGCCAUUGUAGGAGCUGGGAUCAGUGGCCUCCUUUCCUGCAAGUACACACGUUCAUAGGGAUUUCAGCUCAUUGUGCUUGAAUCUUCAGGCAAGUACAUUGGUGUAGAACUAUGACUCCUUAAAUUAAUCAUGUACAAUGUUUUCAAUAUUACAGGAUUUGAGAAAACUCAUAUGUAGUAGGAAUCCUAAAUUAAGUACAAUUGAUUUUGCAUUCCAUUAAUCACGGAGAUGAUUCCGGAUUAUUUUCUAUUCUAACUCCCCACCACAAACUGAAUGAUCCUUAGCGGACAAGUUUCGAACCAAAUACAUCAUGACGUGGCUGAUGAAGAGCUUUUGUAAGAAGGUUGGCAGGCUGAUCGACAGAAGACAUGUAGCAAACGCGAAGACUACCGAGAGCCACAUUUUCACCAACAAAAUGAUAAUCAAGUUCAAUGUGGCGAAUAUGAGCAUGAUGAAUUGGAGAAGCAGCAAGAUAGGUGGAACUAAGGUUGUCACACUGAAGUAAAACUAGAAAACAUAGAUGAACCCCAAGCUCACAAAAAAAAGAACAAAGUCUUGUAGUCUCGGCACAAGAAUGACCAAGAGACCAGUAUUCAGAUUCACCACUAGAUGGGGUCACUGUCGGUUGAUAUAGAGCACCAAGAGAUGAUAUUUGUGCUAAGAUAAAUGAGGUAACUAGUGGUGGAGCAACGAGUAUCUGGAAAACCCGCCCAAUUAGCGUCAAAAUAAGUAAAUAAUUUUGCAGAAGCAAGCUGGGGAGUCAAAGUGAUGCCAAAAUCCAUAGUACCUUUGAUGUAACGGAGAAUCCAUUUGGCAGCAAUUAUGUGAAUAGUGCGAGGGGAACUCAUAAAUUGAGCAACAUCAUUAACAGCAAAAUAUAUGUCGGGGCGAGUUAAAGUAAGGUAUUGUAAGGAGCUAACUAACUCACGAUAGGACGUAGGAGAAGUAAGGAGAGACCAAGCUUCUAAAUGACGCUAGGCGCUAGUCAGGCGGUGGAUUGGGGUCUACCGCCUAGGCGGAUUAGACGGAUUUAAGUGAAUUUAUUAUAUAUUGCAUAAAAAAGUGCCUAUUUAUACUUAAUAAAAAGAUAAUUGUAUAUAUAAAUUGCAAAAUAAAAUGACAUAUAGAUUAUAAAGUAUCGAAAAUAUUGAAACUAUGGGGAACAAGCAUAUAAUAAGUGUUAAUCCAACUAUUCAACAAGUCCCUAACAUUUUAUUGAAAAAAUCAAAUGCAAAAUGAAAAUUAUAUAUUUUCUCUAAGUGAGAGUAGCUACCUAGGCGGGUGCCUAGACGGGUUUAGGCGGGCACCUAAGCAGGCUAGGCAAAUACCUAAGCAGGUCUAGGCACACCUUCUUAAUUUUCAAAUGCCUAAAAACUAAUCGGGAAGGUGACCAGCCGCCUAGCACCUAGGCGACACUAGGGGAAGCCUAGGCGAUGCUGGGCAAGGAUUUUUAGAAUAGUGGGAGAGACCCAUUAGACGCCGUGAAAGAUACCUUCGCAGUAAAAGGCUUGGAAGCAAGUUUCAAGGAAACCAUGUCAAAUAUUUGCGAAAGAUCAUGAGCAUACUUUAGUUGAUAGAUGGUGAGGACCAAUGGAAUCACUAAUGACCUGAAGGCCUAAAAUAUAGGUGAAAAGACCCAAAUCUUUGUUGUCAAACUAUUAUCCAAGAAGAGUGGUGAACUGAGUGAGAAGCUUCGGAGACUUAUAGUAAUGACAUACAAUAAUAAAUAAAUGGUGUAGCUAGGAAGCACAUUGAUAAAUAAAAAGGAAAGAAUUAACUCAAUGUAACAUCAAUAUAUGCGGAGACAUGUAAUUCACGAGACCAAAUAUAACCACUAACCUGAAGAUGAUGACAUGUUGCUAAGAUUAGAGUUCUUCUACAACUCUUCUAUUCUGUAUGCGAAGCCUCAAGAAUGGGGUUUGAGUUUCUGUAAGCUUGUGUGUUUAGAGAGACUGCAGGGACCCUAAUAUAUAUAUCAUACACAGUGGUAAUCAACUAGGACUCUUCCCAUUGAGUAAUCCUAAUUGAUCUUAACCUCAUCACCGUGAAUUCCUUUAUUCAUAUCAGCUAGAAAGACUUCUAGAAAUAUCAUGAUUGUUCAAGCUAAUGAAUCCUAAUAUACAUAUUCCUUAUCAGCUCACAAACAUUGUCAAUGUAGAUCUUUAAUAUUCCCACACGAAUAACAAGUGCUAACCAAGUGUAUAGAUCUCUUCAAAACUUAUAUUCUCUCACUAGAGCUACACUUGGUUAACCAUUGCUAACCUUAAUGUGAGAUUCUUCUUAAAAGGCCACGAGAUCAAUAUUGACACAAAUCAUUAUUCCAGGCUUAGGUCAUUAACCAACAUCUGUAAAGGACUAAACAGUAACAUAUUCUUUAACUUGAAUAAUAUCCCCAUAAUCACAUUUACAAAGCUGGCCAACUCAUUAAACCCUAACAAGAUAUGAAAAUUAUUGUAUUGAAAAAAGUCUGCAUAUGUAUUCAUCAUCAUCUCAAUACAUGGUCCACUUUCGAAUUAAAAAAAACAAUUUAUCUUAAUGGUUGUUAAUCUUGACAACAAUUGCACAAAUUGUCAUACCAUUAUGCAUAUAAAAUAUAUACAAACAUCCUCAACUAAACUGCAUAUUUAAGUGAAAACUUUGACAACCUCAUAGUUUCAACUUUGUUAGUCUAGAAUCCUUAGUAAUCUUUUAAUAAGAUAAAUAAACAAACUUGGCAACUAGAAAACAUUCUUUAAAUAAUACUUAGCUUCCAUUUGUCAGCUGCAUCGAAACUUGCCAAAACUCUCAUCUUUGUGACAUGCUUCUUGAAAACUAAAACUGGUAUAGUCAUGUACAAGGGUUCGGUAAACAUAGCCCUAGUCUCUUUUGUUAUUCUUGGUGAAGAAUAUGGCUGCAUUAUUGUCACAGAAAAGAUGAAUUGGUCGUGAAAUUGAAUCAACCACUUUUAGACCUGAGAUGAAAUUUUUCAAUCAAAUAGCUUGAUCAGUGCCUUCACAAACAAGAAAGAUACUCAACCACCAUGGUUGAAGCUACCAUUGUUGCUUGCUUUAUACUUCUCUAUGAAAUAGCACCACUUGCAAUUGUGAAAACAAACCCGGAUGUGGACUUAAGAUCAUCUGGACACCCAGCGAAGUCCGAGUCACUGUAACCCUUCAAUAUAAGAUUAUAUGCGCUUCUAUAAACCAAUAUGUGUUCUUUGGUCUUCUGAAGAUAUCUUAAAACUUUUUUUGCUGCAUUCCAGUAAGCAUCACCCGUGCAAGAUUGAAAUCUGCCAAGUACACUUAUCGUGAAGGCAAGAUCAAGUCGUGUGCACAAUUGUGCAUACAUCAAGCUUCCAACAAGAGAAGCAUAUGGUCUUUCCUCCAUGUUUUUCUUCUCUAAAUCAGUUUUAGGGCACUAAGUUACCCUUUGAGAUCGGCAUUUCUGUGGUUCCUCAAGAAGACAUGUUGAACAUUUUAAGAACCUUUUUGAUAUAUCCUUUUUGUGACAACCCUAAUAAUCCUCUUCUUAUAUCUUCUUUAAUUCAAUUCCAAGGACAUAUGUUGCUUCCCCAAGGUCCUUCAUUUCAAAAUUCUUCUACAGGAAUGACUUAGUUUCAUCUAACAAACAUGUAACAUUUGUGGCAAGGAGAAUGUCGUCCACAUAAAGAACAAGUAUAAUAAAAUUGCUCCCACCGAUCUUCAUGUAAAUGCAAGCAUCAGAGGGAUUUUCAAUGAAACCAUACUCUUUCACCACGCUCUAAAACUUAAAAUACCACUGUCUCGAUGCUUGCUUGAGACCAUAGAUAGAUUUCUUCAAUUUUCACAUUAGUUUCUCCUUUCCUUCUUCUAUAAACUCUUCUAGCUAUCUUUUAUAUAUUUUUAUAUAUAUAUAUAUAUAUAUAUAUAUAUAUAUAUAUAUAUAUAUAUAUUCUCAUCUAAAUCACCAUUUAAGAACGCAGUUUUAACGUGUAAAAUUAAAUCGUAAUGAGCACAAAUCACCAUGAUCACCCUAAAUGCAUCAUUGGUAGACACAUGGCUGAAUGUUUCCUUGUAAUCGACAUUUCCAUUCGAAUCCUUCGUCUUGAAUACCCACUUACACCUUAUUGGUUUCUUCCCUUCCUUUUGUUCUACUAAUUCCUGUACUUUAUUGUCCUUCAUCGAAGUUAGCUCAGAUUGCAUGGCUUUUAUCCACUUUUCAGAGUUAACUUGAAAUAGCUUUUUUAAAGGAUUUGUCUUAUAAGACCAGUCUAUAUCAUUCUCCUAUUUGAUUUCCUCAAAAAUGGUGGAACCACACCGACUGAUAUGGCUAGUGCAUCUAGUCGGUGGUCAUUCAAAAUGGCUAACUCCACGUGCCCAGAAUUUAUUUUUGUUUGCCCCUGCAGUCUGUCAUCGCUGCCACGAGGGUGCCAAUUUUAUCAAGUGUCAAUUCCACGUACCCCGCAUGUUGUUGCAAUCGGUGCGGUCGAUGCUCACUGCUAGCUGCUGGCCACGUUUGUUGCUGGUUGUCGGUGAUCGCAGCUGCCACUCACAGUUCCUGACUCAUCAUGGCUUGCAUGAUGAUAAGUAUGUUGCUCACUGAGUAGCAGCACAUCAUCGGUGCUUUGGUCUAACAGUUACAUCCCCAGGCAUUUGAUGGACAUUCCACUAAACAAAUAUAAAAUAUUUGAUCUUCGUUAUGUAGUUAUCCUCUCGUUUGUUAGACAAAUAAAAAAUCUCUCAAUAAUCACUUCCUCUCAUACAGCCAAUCCUUACAAGCUUAAAAACUCACAAAGAAUCAAACCUCAAAUUCUCUAAUUUCUGAAGAAAGGAUGACUCAACACACACGAUGAAAAACUCUCAAUUUGACCACAGAAGUAUAUUUAAGUUACCAAAAACAUUGAAGGAAAACCAAAUUUUUCCUUACAACACAUUACUAAAAUCAAUUGUUUGGACCUAUUCUUCAAUGUAAUCUUGUGAUUCUAGUAAUUCAUUAAUUUAGUAAUUCAUUAAUUCAGAAGUAUAUUAGAUCAUCAUUUCUACACACACACACAAAAAACAAAAAAAACAAAAAAAAAAUCAUUUCAGUUUGAGUAUUACCAUGAACAUUUCAUUGUUUAUCAAAAAUGCUGUAUUUGUUUAUUUAUUUAGUCCAUAUUAAAAUAAUUAAAUGCUUUUGGCUUAAAUGAAUUUGCGUAUGGAUGGUUUUUCAAUGAAAAUAUAAAAAUGAACCCUGUAAAUCGUAAGAUACAAUGUAGAGUAAAAACGAAUAGUUAAUACUGUAUUAACUUAGUGCCUGAGCGCUUAAAAUGCAAGUAUUAUCAGGUGAAAAUUAAUUAUGUGUUUAUCUCAAGACAAUGGACUGAAUGGCCUAUAGCCUCACUGUGUUUGUCUUUCGAUCCGAAAACAGGAUUUCCACUUAGCAAUGAGCUUUCACUGUUGAUAAGUUUUCAGAGUUGCCAUUGUUGAGGUUACAGAUGUCACAAGCCUGACAGAUAAAACACAUAGUGCUGAGGAAUGAAGAUGAAGUGGCCUGACGAUGAGGCGACUCAUAAAAAACAAUCUUAUCUCCGAGCUGUACAAAUUUGACCGGAGACAUUACUGUCUUCGUAUUAUUAUCAUCAUCAAUUCAUCAAUCUCAAUGAAUAUAUUUAUAUAUGAGUAGUGUCUUUUGCUGGGGAGAAAUUUUUAGUUUUGAUGAAAAAACGAAUGAUACACCACAUGUUUUUAUGUAAGUGGUGGAAAAUUUUAAUUUUUAAGUUAUUAACUUUUUAACAUACAUAACCCACGAUUUAUAUAGGGAUACGUGAUGUACCACCUCGUGUGACGAUCACAUUGAAAAAUCUCUCUUUGUUGGGUGCUAAUUAAAAUAUUGUUGAUGAGUACAUACCACCAAAAGUCGAAUAUGUUUGAUAGGGUUCAGAGUUUAGGGUUGAUGAGUAAUUACGUAAUAGUAAAAUGUUGCCCAGUUCACAUGGGUUGCACAUUAACCCAAUUCCCAAGCACAUUUUAGGAGAAAUCAUCAUGUUUUACUAUAAACUCAUUGAUCAUAUUUUCGCUCAAUUAACUUCUCAUUAUGCCCUUCAGUUGAUGGGUUGACUCAUAUUUAACCCAACUUGUUUGUAAUGUAAUUUAUGGCCACUUUCAUACUAAAUAUCAAACAAAACCGUAAUCCGAGUAAAUUAGCAAGGUCAAUUUUCACACUAAAUAGAAUGUAAGGGUCAUCUACUUUAUAUUUACCUCUUCUCUAACUUGAUUCAAAUGAUGACAUGGCUUAUCUUUAAUCAACGUACAUAAUACAUAUAAAGUCAUCCUUUUAUAUUUUCUACCUGUUGCAAUCCAAUUAGCAGGUUUUUUUUAUUUUUUUAUUUUAGCACUAAUGAUAUUUUUUUUCCAUUAAAAGAGUGGGAGCAGACCUGACAAUUUCUUACACGACCCGUUAACACGACACGUAAACAACACAAAAAUAACGGGUUUCGGGUCAACAUGAUAACUAAUCGGGGUAUUAUUGGGUCACACGAUAAUAACCCGUUAAUAACGGGUCCCUAACAGGUUUACACGAGAGUGACAUGCGGGUAACUUGUUUCGACACGAUAAGAAAAAAUUUAUUUUGAUGAUUUUAAUUUUUUAAACUACUAAAAAAAACUUACUAUAAAAUACAAUAGAUAUAAUGAAUAUGUAUAUAUUGUUUAUUAAUUAUUAUUCUAUAUAAAUUUUAAAAUUUAAGUUUUAUUUAUUUAUUUAUUUAUUUUUAUAGUAUAUUAUAGGCAAAGAUUGAGAUUAAAAAUGUCACAUCACAGACCCGUUCCACCAUCGUAGCACGAUAUUGUCCGUUUUGGGCUUACCAUUCCCUCACGGUUUCUAUUUUUGGGAACUCACGAGCAACUUUCCAGUGGGUCACUGAUCCUGAGAGUGCUCUGGCCUCCUUCUCGUUUAAUUUCGGAGUUCCUACGAAACCCAAAGCCAGUGAGCUCCCAAAAGGCCUCGUGCUAGGUAAGGAUGGGAAUAUACAUUUAAUGAUCACUCCCCUGGGCGAUGUGGGAUGUUACAAAAAAUCCUAAAACACAUUAAAAAUAAAAAUAUCAAGUAAUUUAAAAAUAUCAAGUAAUUUAAAAAUACCAAACACAUUAAAAAUUAUAAUAAUUAAUUUACAUAUACAAAAAAUAUGAAAAAAAUAUGCAAAUGCUCGUAGUCGCAUCCUCUACGCUUCAAGGAUGGGUAUAUGAUCGUUUGAAUUUUUAAAACCAUAAAAACUCUCAUGAAUAGUAGUUUUAAGGGAGUUCAAAAUAAACAAAAUUCAUAAUCAUUAAUGUAUAAGUCUAAAAGAUGUGAAAGCAUAAUAAACGUUCAUAAUUGCAUUCUCAACGCUUAGACAAUGGUUACAUGGUCGUUUAGAUUUUUAAAACCCUCCAAAUCUCAUGAACAAUGCUUUUUAUUUGAGUGCAAAAUUAAUAAAAUUAAUAAUAAUUAUUGUAGAAGUGUGAAAAAUGUAAUCACUCGUAAUGAAAAGCUUUACAACUUUCAUAAAGGGGUCAACUUCGAAAUUUAGUAUGUAUAUACUAAUUUAGUAUUAUGUUUUACAUUUUUUUGGGUCAAAUUAUGUUUUUCAUUUUCAUUUUUAUUGAUUUCAAAUAUAUUUUUCUUAACGGGUAACGGGUCGGGUCAUAUUACCUGAUAAUAUUAAUGGGUUGAUUUUGGGUUGGGUCAUAUUACCCGUGUACUUUAACGGGUAUUACACGACACGGCCCGUUAAGCUAUCGGGUAUGAUACGAAAACGACACGAACACGAGAAGCACAACACGAAUGUAGGUUUAAGUGGGAGUAUGGGUUAAACCUCAAAAAGCAAGUCACAAUAAUGUGGUUCAAAUUUGCUUUUAAAAAGAAUCGAACUUAAGAUUUCAUACUUACAAGUAAAAAAAAUAUCAUUAGACCGUAAUACUAAGUGAGAAUAUCAUGUAUUUAGUUAUUCUCUAUUUUCUUUCAUUUCAAUACGUACAAAUUGUGUUUUAUAUUUAAUUGUUAUAGGUAGAUUAUGAUAUAAAUUUUCUUUAUAAGUAAAUAAUAGUUUAUAUCACCGUCAUAAAUAUAUAAUGUUUUAUUUCUUUGUCAUAGAUUGAUAACAAUUAAUCUCCUCGUUAUAGGUAGACAAUUGUAUUAUAUAUAUCUAUGCUUGUACCUUUGACAGGUGCAUGGGGUGAUUGAAAGUGUUGUUUACAAAGAAAUGAUUAAAAUUUUAAAAAUCAAUUUAAAACAAAAAAAAAUGCAUAAACUAGGGAUUUAAUUAAUUCUUCUUUUAAUUCACGUAGUAUAAUGGUUUAACGAUAUUCCGCUUCACUUGUAAAUAAGAUAUUUUAGGUUUGAUUCUCACCAAAGGUAAAGUUGUACCACAUUAUUAUGGGCAGGCUCAUUGUAAGGCUUAGUUCAUUUUUCUAUCCUCUUAAUGUAAAUACUAUCAUUUGUUUAACUUUUUUUUAUUCUUUUAAUUUAAGGGUAAAUUAUAUAAAAUUAUCUCAACUAUGGGGUCAACCACUGUUUCAUACCCCAUCUUUAAAACAUUUCAAUAUCAUACCUUAUUUUACGAAUUUAUUGCAAUGUCAUACCUUCUGUCAGUUUGUCUGUCAAUUCCUUCGUUAAAUGCUGAUAUGGCUUAAGGCUGGACCCACUCUCUAUUAAAAAAUUAAUUAAAUAUUAAAAAAUAAAAAAUAAAAAAAUUUAAUAAUUUUUUUUUAAAUGGGGAGCCCACCCAUAACCUUCCUUCACCACCCAACCUUCCUUCACAACCCUACCACCGCCCUCUUUUCCUCUAUCUCCACGCUUACAACCCAUCCAAACAGUCACUUAAACCCACCAAUCCACCUAAACAGUCCCUUAACUCCAUCACUCAGACCGAUUCGCAAACCUCUCCACAUUCUCAUCCUUCAAAUCAACCCCACCAUCGCCUCCCCCAACCCGCAGGUCACCUUCGCCAACACAUCCGGGUCCCGAUAGUGCAUCACUGCCUACACAAUUUAUUCCACCCCCACAUUCCUCCCACCUCCCCAUUUCAAUUCAUUCUCCAAUUAUUUUUUUCUUUCGAUUUUAAUUUUUCCAAAUUUUGAUUCUAUUUUUUGUACAAUUCGAUUCAAAUCGGACCUGGAUCGGACUUAGAGAAAAAAAAAUGGCAGCAUCUCAACAACUCCGGGACCUGCAAUCGCAGCCGAGGAACAAGAUAUGCAUGGACUACUCCUAAAAGAACCUGCAGUGGGCUUCGGUUUCGUAUGGCAUCUUCAUGUGCUUAUAGUGCUCCGGCAAGCAUCGCAGGCUCAACGUCCACAUCUCGUUCGUCUGAUCCAUGACCAUGGAUUUGUGGUCUUAGAUCCAGAUCAAGAAAAUAGAGGUCGGCGGCAACAAGUAGCUUAACGCCUUCUUCUCCAGCUACGGCAUUCCUAAGAAGACGAAUAUCGUCACCAAGUACAACACCAACAUCGCCAGCGUGUACCGAGAUCAGAUUCAAGCCCUAGCCGAGGGGCGUCCAUAGAGGAACCCACCCGUCGUGAAGAAGGCCCUAGGGUUUGAGAAAAAGAAGUCGCCCUUGGCCCAAGGCGGCGGCGGUGGAAGCGGCAAGGGAGGUGGUUCUGGGAAUAAUGGGGGGUAGGAUAGUUGGGACGACGACAGUUUCAGAUUGUCAAACGAUAUGAGGAGGAAUCAGUCGGCCCAACAAACACCCCGUCGCACCCCAGCUGCAUCAUUAGUGCCUCGUCCACCAUCGUCACCUCUCUUCCUGCCGCAAAGUGCACCAUCGGAAGCCUCCCUGGUUGGGGGGACACAGGAAGAACUGGAUAAGGGAUUGUAGGGGUGGGUCCACCAUUUAAAAAAAAUUAUUAAAUAAUUUUAUUUUUUUAGUUUUUAAUAUUUAAUUACUUUUUUUAAUAGAGAGUGGGUCCCGUCUCAAGCCACAUUAGUAUUUAACGGAGGAAUUGACAGACAAACUGACGAAAUGUAUGACAUUAAACAAAUUCGUAAAAUAAGAUAUGACAAUGAAAUGUUUUAAAGAUGAAGUAUGGAACUGUGGUUGACUCAAUAAUGAGGUAGUUUUAUGUAAUUUACUCUUAAUUUAAUUUAGGGGCAGAAUGCGCAUAAACAUCACAAUUAAAAACUAGGUUUUUAUAUUAUUUUGCACUGUUAACUGGUCUAUAUCAAAAUAUCCAUAUAGAGUUUCAUGGGUCUGCACAUUAAUACAUAGCUUCUUGCUCUAAUUAAACAAUACAAAAAAAACUCAUAUUGAAAAUUUGACAAUAUGAAAUAUAAUUUACAGGGUCAGUUGUCAAUUUAGUCUCUGAAUUAUCACUUCAAUAAAAAUUAGGAACCUAAAUUAUUUUUCGGUAACAUAAGUUGACACACCCUGACCAAGAUCGAGGCAUGCUGGCCGUCACAUGAGGGUGACGUAGCCAUGUGCACAGUGCGGAAGCAAUAAAGAUAAGAAAUAUAUGAACAAAUAAAAACAGAAAGCUACUAAUGUGUACUAAUAAAUAGGAAGUACUAGGAGUGAGAUACAAAUGUAAAUACUCUUAAUCAGAGCAUAGAAAGUCUAGGUGCAGUCCAGUAGGACAAGUACUAGUUAUAUAGUACCAGAAGAUAUCCUACGAAUAUUUUAUUCUGUCAGAACCGCCAAAAUCCUCAAUGCCACCAACCGCACGUCUACCUAAAACCUGGAGAGGCGCAAAACAGAAAAUGUGAGUGGGCAAAAACAAAUGUUUCAUCAUUAAAAUGCUCUAACCUCUCGCCGUAAAACAUGUAUAAAUUUUCCCAGAAAUAGAAUGUAAAUAUCUACAUCUAUAUAUAUUUUCAAGUCAUGCUUCACAUAUUCAUAAUCAUAAGUAUGUCAUGCCAAAUAUAAAACAGAAUAAGUAACUCAGGUAAAAAUAGAUUCAUGGAAAAUAAUAUAUUAGCCGGAACCCCUGCAGAAGUCUGUACGGCUGAAUUCAUAGUUCAUUAGUCAAUCUAGCCGGGGUCACUACAAAUGAUAUAUACCGCACUACACUGCACACGAGUCGGAACCACUAUAAUGGUCUGUACGACAGGACUAGGUGUAAUAUACUUAUGCUCAGUGCUACACUCUCAUGAUAGCUAAGCGAUAAAUCACUAGUCACCUACGAGUCAAAACCACCUAUAAGGGUUUGUAUGACAAGACUGUGUACCUAAAUUGGAUCCAAUGUGAGCAUAGGGUGCGCGAUGUGACAUUAUAAACAGGCAUGUACCUUAUCUCUAGCUAAAUCACAAUCACUCGGGGUGCAGGUUUAUGAGCUCUAUGUUUCUCAAUUAAUCACAACCAUUAUUCACAUUUACAAAUCAUAAACUCACCCGAGCUUAAUUGAGCGUCCACAGCACCACAAUUAUAUAAUAAUCAUCAUAUACUAAUUCAUAUACUGAAUAUAAAUUUAUAUGCAUGGCAUUUCAAAGCAUACUUUCAUUUAAACGCAUUUUCUGGGAAAAUAUCAAGUGUAUAAUUAUAUACUGAAAACCAAAUGCCCACUCAUUGGUAUGUCGAAGGGUCGUAGCCCCCGAGUCGCCCUUGACUGCGCUCGUCCUCGGGAUAAGUCUCCCCUAUAUGUGAAACAACUAUAAAAACGUUAAUUUAAAGCACAUAACCAAUACUAGCUAAUAACUUCUCAUAAAUUGUUCAAAUGGGAUGUUUGAAUAUUCCAACGUGAUCUACACAACCUCACGAACAACCCCAUAUUUUUAAAAUAAUUUUUGGAGCCUUCACGCGCCAUCACGCGCUGGCAAAGGCACGGCCCUACGCGAGGCCAUGCGCAGGGACCCUAACGAAAUCCCUUAACCCCGUUAAGAAUAUUCUGUUAAAUAGUAUCAGAAUCCGUUAAACUAACCAACGCCGUUAGGAAUAUUCCAUCAAGGUUGACGGAAUAUUCCAUCAUCCCUUACCUUCGAACUCCGGCGACCGUCGCCAUCACCGAAAACUGCAAAAUUUUCAAACCUUCAUUUCUCUUCUGAUUCUCAACCAAAUUUCACGAAUUAUAUACCAAAAUGAAGCUUAAGACAAGUAGAAAAAGCCCUUACAAGUUUUAGGACCUAAAAUUCACGGGAUCUCGCCAGAAAAAUCCGUAAUAAUCCAGCCAAACUUAAAGCUCGCCAAUCUCAGGUUCCCGACGUCCAAUUUACUUGGUUUUUGUCCUCUGAGCUUCGUAGGAACGUCCUAAAGCUUCAUACGAGCUUCAAAUCCCCGAAACAUCCAUAAUAACGACCAUGUGAACAGUACUCAAAUCGGGGAUGAUGGUUUCUCGAGUUUUUUAGGGUUUCACGAUUUAAAAAUGGCAUAUAUGAACUCAGGGACUUGCAAGGAGUUCGAAUCUUACCUUCUUGACGUCAAUCCGUGCGUGAAAUGUGAGUUUGGCGUUCGUCCGUACAAGGUUGACGGAAACAGAAGAAAAUCGAGAGGGAUGGGAGAGAAAGUGCACGAGAAGGAGAGAGAGAGAGAGAGUUAAUUCCAAUUAGUUCCACAUACUAAGGAAAAUAACUUGGACCUAAACCUAAGUCAUAUAUGCACACCACUACCCACGUUUAAGGGUAAAAUCGUCAUUUCACACCAUCGAUAAAAUUAUCCUAGGACGGGCUGUGACAUAAGUCCUCAAAUUAAUAAAAAAAAAGAAAAAAACUGUUAAUUACAUCCUUAAUAUUAGAUUUGAAGCUACUUUAUUUAAUUUUCGUCAAUUUAAGUCACAUGAUUUGCAUGUAAUACACUUUGGAGCGUAAAUUGGUAGUUCAUAAAUUUAAGGACUUAUUUUUUAUUAAGAAGUAGGGUAUGGAGUUAACUUUGGAGGGUCAAUUAGACGUUAGAUUCGCAAUCUAUAUGGAAUGUUAAGGGUUUAUAUAUGGAAAAUGACGGUAUUACCCUCUAAAAUGUGUCAUGUGACUUAAAUUGACGAAAAAUUGGAUAAAAUAGCUUUGAAUAUACUAGUAGGGAUGAAAUUAGUAAUUUUUAAUGAAUUUAAGGACUUAUUUUACAUAAAAAAAAAUUGUUAGGACAUAAAUUUUUUAUGAGGUAAUAAUUCAAGGACUAAAUUAGCAGUUCACCCUAACUAAUAAUAUGUGGUUCUACUUCUUGUUAUACUAAGGACUUUUGUGUAAAAUACUCACAUAAGGAUCCCGUAGAAAAUGUUUAUUUUAUGCCCAGGGUAUUAGCCACAUGAUGUGUUGUGCAUGUAGUAAGAUGCAAGUUAGAUGACAUUAUCGCCUUAUCGGUGUGGUUAGUUGUGAGAUAGUGGCCCAUCUUUCUAAAAUCUUAGCAUGGUAUCAUAAUUGCCUUGUGAGAUUGGGUUGGAAUUGUUCUUUAUCUUGUCUUGCCUAAAGUACCAAGUUUACUACAUUGCCUUGAGUGUGCUUUUGUUUGACUGGUGUAGAAUUGGUUACACUUUUGGCCGAUUAUGUAGUGGUCCCAUAUGAAGGGCGUGUAAACAACACAAAAAUCUCAUAUAAAAAAAAAUAACCAAAUUAAAUAUGACUUAUGUUGCUUGGUUCAACUUCUAGUCACGUCGAAGGUUUACAUAUCAAUAUGAUUGAGUGAAAGACGUUAACCCAUUUAUGUUAAAAUUUCCCUUGAAAUCUUAACACAUAAGAACAAUAAUAAGUAAAUAAGUAGUGUGGUUUUGUUGAGAAUUUUUAAAAUCGUUGGUGUUUUGAACAAGUGAUAUUAUCUACAUUAAGAGAAUGGGGUGAACUUAGCCUCACAAUGAGCUAGCAAUAAUGUGGUUCAAACUCACAUUUAGCGAGAUCCGAACCUAAGACCUCUCACUUACAAGUGAAGAUGAAAUUUUAAAAUCGUUGGUGAUCGGAUGGAUUCCUAGAAAAUUGAUUCCCCCUACGUAAUUAAAUGUAUAUCUUAAUUAAGGCCAAAGAUAAUUAGGUAUAUAGCCUCAAAAGUUGAUGUGGGCAAAGACAUUAAUACUUAAUUAUUUCCUCCCUUUUAUAUACACGCAUGAUAGGACUUCACUCAUAGAAACAGAAGAUCAAAACACUUGCAUCUAAAUGGGAAAGCAGGUAGCUAUUAUAGGAGUUGGAAUUAGCGGCCUCCUUGCCUGCAAGUACACACUUUCAAAGGGCUUUCAUCCUAUUGUUUUUGAAAAUUCAAGCUGCAUUGGGGGAGUGUGAACCAAAACUAUUGAGACUACCAAGAUCCAAACCCCUAAAGAAUUUUACCAGUUCUCAGAUUUUCCAUGGCCAUCUUCAAUGACAAAAGGCCACCCAGACCAGAAUCAGGUUUUGAAUUACAUCCAAUCAUAUGCUCAACAUUUUGACUUGCUCAAGCACAUCAAAUUCAACAACAACGUGAGCGGGAUUGAGUAUGAAGGCCCAUCCGGCGAUGAGACGUGAGCUCGGAGUCACUGGGGUAGCACCGGAGAACCGUUUAGCUCCGAAUGGAAAUGGAAGGUUGUUGUAGAAGACAAACAAAGCCUUUCAACUAAGGUACAUACUUGUUGGAACGUCAACUCUAUCCCACAAAUUUAGGGAUAGAUUAGCAACCAAGUAUAUACUUUGAUUGUAAUUGAUUAUAGUUGAUUUUGUAUAGAAUAAUUUACUUGAUUGUAUUCCUUGAUUAUAGGAUCACAGUUGUAUAUAUUUUUCAACUCAAUGAAUGAAAGAAUUAUUCUGGCAAACAUCAUUUUGUCAUUCUUUACAUGGUAUCAGAGCUAGGGCAAACAACAAACCCUAGUUUUUCUUUCCGCUACAUUUUUUCUCUGUCGUUGCCAACCUUCAGCCAUGGCCAAUGAGCAGACCUCUACUGGAAGCAAGCCUGAUGCUUCCAAUCCCUAUUUCGUCCAUCAUGUCGACCAUCAUCCUAUGGUUCUCGUCUCCAAGCUUCUCAAUGGAGACAACUACGCCACUUGGUAUCGUUCUGUGAAACUUUCCCUGAACACAAAGAACAAGUUGGGUUUUAUGGAUGGCACACUGAAGGUUCCUGAUGAGAAGAACCCAGAUGAUUAUGCUUCCUGGAAGCGAUGCAACGACAUGAUCGUUUCCUGGAUUUUGAAUUUUGUCGACCAGUCCAUACAUGAUAGUAUGGUUUAUUAUACCACAGCCCAAGCAAUAUGGCAGGACCUUGAAGAUCGUUUCAGUCAAGGUAAUGCGCCUAGAAUUUUUCAAAUCCAAUGGGAGAUAGCUUCUCUCUCAAGACAAGUUAUAUGUUGCUGCUUAUUAUACCAAGUUGAAAGGUUUGUGGGAUAAGCUUGCAUUAUAUGACGACCAUAAGUCUUAUACCUGUGGUGUUUUGCAAAAACAAGGUGAACAAAUGGAGCGUACCAGAUUAAUGCAGUUCCUCAUGGGGCUCAAUGAGGCUUAUAGUGUUGCAUGAAGUAAUAUUCUAAUGAUGAAUCCAUUACCUACGGUACGUUCAUCGUACUAUAUGAUUGUUCAGCAGGAAAAGCAGCGUGAUGUGAGUGAUUCACGUGAAGCUACAGAAGUUGCUGCAAUGGUAAUUCGCCAAUGGCAGAAACAAAAGGGUGGCAAUAGCUCUUCCUCCCGUAAACUGCUCCACUGCACUCAUUGUGACACCAAUCACCACACCAUUGGCAUAUGCUACCAGUUGCACGGUUAUCCCCCGGACCAUUGCCUUCAUAAGUCCAACAAAGGUGGUGGAUGCGACAACAAUGAUGGAAGGCUCAACAAGAGCAAUGGAAGCCCUUCUUCUGCAAACAACGCUACCACUGGUAAGGUUCCCCUACAAGAACUGCACUCAGCAGUCCCCAGCCUUUCUGAUGCACAGUUUCAGCAAAUUCUUUCCAUCAUGAACGGCAACGGCGCCACACUAAACACUUCCCAAACCACUGCUCCUCAAGCCAAUGUCGCUGGCACUUCUUCAGGUUUGUCAAAUGUCUCACAACGCUUUUGUCGAUGGAUAAUCAAUAGUGGUGCUACGAACCAUAUUACCACUUCACCAAAUUCAUUUACUCAUUGCACCAAAAAUAUCACUCUACCACCUAUUCAACUACCUAGUCAAGAACAAGCUCCCAUCACUUCUAUUAGGAGUUUGUCUUUAACUCCUUCGAUCAAUUUACAAAAUGUCUUAUGUAUGCCCACUUUCAAAGUUGAUUUAAUGUCUGUAAGUUGAGUAACCAGCAAAAUGGCCUGUUCUAUAACGUUUUACCCUACUUGGUGUAUUUUGCAGGACUUGGCUACGAAGAAAAUGAUUGGUUUGGGUAAACUGUGUGGAGGCCUCUAUUAUUUAGUGGCCUUAGUUUCAGCAACCGCAGUCCUCUGUCCAACCUUCCUGCCACCUUGUCACCUCCUUCACCGAGUUAUGGCACCGUCGUUUGAGUCACCUAUCACCCUCUAGAUUGAAGUUUAUGGCCGGUUUGUGAUGUAUCUUUUGGCACUAGUUCAAUUAAUACUAAGAACUCUUUUGAACUUAUUCAUUGUGACAUUUGGCAAAUCCCUUUCUGGUGCUAAAUAGUUUUUAACUAUGGUGGAUAAUUAUUCUAGGUUUACAUGGGUUUUUCUUAUGCACCAGAAAAGUGAAACACAACAUUUACUUAAACAAUUCAUUUCCUUUGUGCAAACCCAAUUCCACACACAAGUAAAAACCAUUCGAACUGAUAAUGGUGGGGAGUUCCUUUCUUUACGUUCUUUUUUCAAAGAUCUUGGCAUUGUUUUCCAACAUUCAUGUGUCUUUACGCCUCAACAAAAUGGCGUUGUCGAACACAAGCACUGCCACAUUCUUGAAAUGGUGUGUGCCUUGCGUUUUCAAGCUCACUUUCCCUUACAUUUCUAGGGCGAUUGUUUUCUCACUGAUGUCCACCUCAUCAACAAAUUUCCAACCCCUCUCCACUACAAAACACCCUACGAACUCCUUCAUGGUAGAUGUCCUACUUUUUCUCAUCUCCAGGUUUUUGGUUGUUUUGCCUAUGUAACCAAUACCCAUAUUUCUCAUAAAUUUGAUUCCUGAGCAAAGCGUUGUGUUCUUUGUAGGUUACCCCGUUGGUCAAAAAGCCUACAAACUAUAUGACUUGGACUCCAAACAAAUCUUCACAAGCGGAGAUGUUAUUUUUCAUGAAACUACCUAUCCUUUUCAAACGUUGCUUCCUUCACACACGGCACCCCUCCGUAUUUCUCAUCACACUUUACCUCUCACCCUUACUCCUACCUUACCAACCCCAGACAAGUCCCACUCUUCCUCACCUUCCUUGCCAUCUUCUCCAUCUCCUCCUACACCCCAUAACACGGAUACUGAUCAUUCUCCACAUCCCACAUGUUGCCAAGCCUAAUCCCAUUACUCCUGAUCAUUCUCCUGUCUUCCUAGUUGAUCCCAACCCUACUCAACCAGUCCUUGAACCACCCUCUGCCCCCAUUGGGUGUCCUUUGCGCCACCACACCGUACAUGUCUACCUCAAUGACUAUGUUUGCUCAAAGGCAUGGUAUAAAAUAUCGAUGAUAUCGGAAAUAUCGGUAGUCCAAAAACAUGGAAAUUUUAAUGGAAAUAUCGGGAUAUUAUCGAUAUCGAUAAAAUUGAAUAAAAACCACGAAAAUUGUAAGAAAAACUUGGAAAUUUUUAUUGAAACUUUGGAGAAUGUUUAUUUAGUCAAUUAUCUAUUAGUUUAUCAAAAAAAAUUAGAAGGAAAUGCAUUACAUGAUGGAUUUAACUGAUUUAAGUUGAUUAUACAUUGAGCUGGCAAACACUGUGAAUGUAGAAAAUAUGUAGUAAUUAAUGAAACAAAGAUUAAACACACCAUAAUCAUUUAUAUAUAAUGAUUUACUACAAUAUUUUACACUUUAUACAUUGCAUGGUAAGAUACAUGAGUGAUUCAGUACCACAUAAAGUUCCUAUGAGGUUCAAAAUUUUCACUAUCUUCAUCAUCUCUAUGUGUAGAGUAAGUUUAUUGUGAAGAGUAUUCAUCAAAUGAUAAAUCCCCAAAAUAGUUUUGCAUGUAAUUGUUAACAUGCCACUCAUAUAAAUAUAAAUGUUUUAGCAUAUUAUCACUAAAACAUAAGUGAUAUAUGGUGGUUACGGUGUUGGAGGAGUAAAAUGGGAGGGGUUUAAAUCCUUUUUGUGUUUUUUUUUCCUCCCUUUUUUUCCCUUUUUUUUCUUCUUUUCCUUUUUUUUUUCCUUCCUUUACAUCAAUAUUUUCGAUAUUUUAGCGAUAUUACACCGAUAUUUUGACAAAAUAUUGCUGAAGUGUGAGCGAAAUUAUCGACAUCGAUAUUUUCCGAUAUUAUCGUCGAUAUUGUCGAUAUUUGUACGAUAUGUACAUGGAUAUGUUCCGAAAUAUCUGUGAUUCAAAAAAACCAAAAUAUCCUCGAUAUUUUGUCGAUAUUAUCGAUAUUUCAGACUAUGCUCGCAGGUGAUGUUGCCUGCACCCAAACUGUCGCUUUCUUUGUUGUCAAGCUCCACUAAAGGCACCAGGUAUCCCUUAGACCAUUUUCUUUCCUAUCAUCGUUACUCACCCACACAUUUUGCUUAUAUUAACCAUGUUAACCAUGAUGUGAAACCUCGUACAUAUGUCGAGGCUGCUUCUCACUCUCACUGGCAGGUUGUUAUGCAAUCUGAGUUGUAAGCGUUGGCCGAGAAUCGCCCUUGGACUCUCACUCAUCUUCCUUCUGGCAAGUCUCCAAUUGGUUGCAAAUAGGUCUACAAGAUUAAACAUCAUUCUGAUGGGACCAUUGAGCGCUACAAAGCUCAUUUGGUCACUAAGGGUUACAUUCAGAUGAAGGGUGUCGAUUACCAUGACACUUUCGCCCACUGCUAAAAUGACCAAUGUCCCUUGCUGAUUGUCCAUUGCAUCUGCCCUUAAUUGGCCCCUUCAUCAGCUUGAUGUUAAUAACGCCUUCUUCCUUGGCGAUCUUCAUGAGGAAAUCUAUAUGUCCCCACCUCCUGGUCUUCUGUGACAGGGGGAGCGUUUGGUAUGUUGCCUCCACAAGUCGUUGUAUGGUUUGAAACAAGCUUUUUGCCAAUGGUUUGCUAAGUUCUCUGCUGCUAUUAGAGCUACAAGUUUUGUACAAUCUAAAGCCGAUUAUUUACUAUUCACUCAUCGCAGAGUGAGCUCUUUCACGACUCUUUCGAUUUACGUGGAUGACAUCGUUAUCACUAGAAAUAAUUUGGCUGCCAUUUCUUCCCUUAAAGCUUUUUUGCAAAGUCAUUUUCGAAUCAAUGAUCUUGGAGACUUGAAAUAUUUUCUGGGAAUUGAAGUGUCACGUUCCCAUAAAGGUAUUUCCAUUUCACAACAGAAAUACACUUUGGAGAUCUUGAAAGAUGUUGGCCUCUUGGGAGCACAACCAGUUGACUUUCCCAUGGAACAAAACUUGAAGCUUUCAGAUAAAGGGGAAUUACUCAAGGCCCAUCACAGUAUAGAAGAAUUAUGGGGCGUUUGAUUUUGUUUGUACCAUACUUGACCAAUCCCGAAACUACUGAGCACCGGUCAACGUUAUACCGUCAAAGACCCAAAAGAGUUUCCCUCUAACCAGGAGGCCAAUCACAGCUCGACACGUGUCAACAUCAGAAGCCAAUCAUAGCGUGACACGUGUUAACAUCAGAAGCCAAUCACAACACGACACGUGUCAAUGUCAAAAUGAAACUAGAAAGUCUCUUCUAUAAAUAGAGAUCAUUCUCUCACAAUAUUUCCGAAUGUCAUUUGUACUAAAUCAUUCACUAGUACUCACUAAAGGAGAGCUUGAACCUAUGUACUUGUGUAAACCCUUCACAAUUAAUGAGAACUCUUCUACUCCGUGGACGUAGCCAAUCUGGGUGAACCACGUACAUCUUGUGUUUGCUUCUCUGUCCCUAUCCAUUUACUUACUUAUCCACACUAGUGACCGGAGCAAUCUAGCGAAAAUCACAAACUUAACACUUUCUGUUGUACCAAAGUCCUCGCUGAUUUUGUGCAUCAACAUUUGGCGCCGUCUGUAGGAACGACACUUAUUCCCACUCUCUUCAGCUUUGCCAAGCUGGUUUCCACCAUUCGUACACUCUCUUUUGACCAGGCAUCCCUCUCCAACAUGGGGAACGAAGGAAGCCACAACACACAGAAUGACACCUCUCUUGCACUUAGUGUGAAUCAACAAAAAAAUGAAGGAAAGAGGGUUGCUUUUCAAGCUAAAGUCGAUGAGCUAGAAGCUCAGAACAACAAGAUAGCAAUGAAGAAUGGGGUCCUCCAUAAGCAAUAUGAGAAGCUCUUUGAGACGCUCCACGAAACUAGGCGUACUCAAACACGCGAGCUCGUUGCUCUGUGGACAUCAACCAUCAUCUGGGUACUCUUCAACACGGAGGGUCACCUCCCUUCGACAUGGGUAUCCUUGAUGAGGAGUGAGCUAAUCAUCAAAACAUUGAUCAACAUGAGACUUCUCUCAACCCAGAUGUUUCGACCUGAAGUAGAAGAAGUGGAGGAAGACACCUCCCUGCAGAAGGGUUAGAAGGAUCGAAAGCCAUUUAUCGUGACUGUCGAGACUUCCUAAAGCAACGUCGAGAGAAUCCCCUCCACAUAUGCUCAAAGAUUAAUGACCCAAGGGUUUCUAAAAGACUCGGUCCCCUUCCACGACCCAGGCCAGCUACCAAUCUAGGGAAGGAACGACAAGUCCCAAAGGAACAUUAAGGUACGGGGGACUCUGAGGUAUUCCGACAGACUCGUCCUAAAAGUCAGUACGGCGAGUCCAAGAAAAAACCACCCGCCCUUGCUCAAACUUUCCUACUUACAAGAGGCAAUGGAGACUUAUGAAAGAAAUUCCAGUGGUACAUGACUCCACUCAGAACCCCUUUGUCCUACAGCUCCUUGAGGAAGUAAACAAGUUGAAGGCCGAACGUCAGACCGAGAUACCUGACUAGAACCAACCUAGGCCUGGCCCUCUCACAAGAAAGAUCCUCGACACCCCAUUUAAGCGAAGACAAAACAAAAGCUUGGUUUACAACUCUAUACUGGAAGGGAGAACCUAAUUGAACACCUUAACCUCUUUGAGUCCACCAUGGCAUGGAUGCACACCAACGAAGAGCGAUGUCUUCUCUUCCCCUCCCCCUUCUCUGGCGGAGCUCUAAACUGGUAUUGUCGUCUUCCACCUGAGAAAAUAGACUCAUUUGAGGAAUUGAGGAAACUGUUUAUCUCUUAACACAUAUUCCAGACCGAUUACUUGCAUUCUGCAGAUGACUUGUACACUAUUCGCCAGAAGUCGGACAAGUCACUACGAGAGUAUAUCGGUCCCUUCAUCCAUGAGUAUUCUCGCUGCGCUGAGGCAAAUGACAAGACCGCCUUCAAGGCCUUCAUGGCAGGCCUACGUGAUUGUUUCUUCAAGUACAUGAUCAAUACCAACACUUGGAAGACUUACUUUGAGGUGAUGGCACAAGCUUACAACCACGCCUCCGCCGAAGCAAGGACAUACUAAGGGAACCCCCAUAUGGUUAACCCCUAUCAACAAAUAGGAAGUGGAAGUCAAGUUCUACCAAGUGAGGAGAUAUUGGCCAUUCAGACACUCAUUGCAUCAUCCCCUGCCUCAUUUAGCUACUCGCUAAGUCACCAAACGUAUCUGUCUCUUGGUAAGAUGAAGGAUUUUUACUCUCAGCAAGCCUAUUACAACAAAAGGGAUAAAAGUUUGUAUGAAGACAACCAUGGGUAAACGUACCGUCGACUAUUAUGAUUAUGGGGCCAAGCCUCACUCUUUCAAAGUGGAGGACUAGGUACUGAAGGAAAUGCUAUUAUAAGAAGGCAUACACAUUACAAAUAUUUUGACUCUCAACCACUUGAGAUCUUUUGUCACACAAGCCAUUCGGCAAAUAUUUAAAGAAAAAGGAAUUCAGACAACUUCUUCUGAGUCUUUUGCGUUCCUAGCACUGGAACACUUAGUCUACGCUGACCUACCCUUAUACUCCAACUCAGAGCUUCAACAUGCGUACUUUGACACAAAGUAUGUGAUACUAAGUGUUACAACCAACAUGGUUCACAUAUCAAAAGCAUGGAUCCCUUCAUGCAUAGCAAAACAUUCAUAAGCAUCACUCAUAUCAAUCAACAUAAACAUUUUACAUUCCAACACAUUCAUACAUAAACAUCAUACAUUCCAACACAUUCAUACAUAAACAUCAUACAUUCCAACACAUCCAUACCUAAGCCAAUUGUGCUUUGAAAGGGUUCAACAUACUUUGUGUCUUCGACACUUGCUACAAUGUGCCUCGACACCUUACCCUUAUUCUCACCGACCAGGUGAUGAAAUGUGAAGUAGGAACUCAUCUUCAUGCCACCAUCCAGGUGAUGAAAUGUACAACCCGUACUCUAAUAUCAUUUGGCAACUUGCCACUCAUGCCACCAACCAGGUGAAGAAGGAACUCAUCUUCGUGCCACCAACCAGGUGAUGAAAUGUACAACCCGUACUUUCCUUCAUGCCACCAACUAGGUGAUGAAAUGUACAACCCGUACUCUAAUAUCAUUUGGCAACUUGCCACUCAUACCACCAACCAGGUGAAGAAGGAACUCAUCUUCAUGCCACCAACCAGGUGAUGAAAUGUACAACCCGUACUCUCCUUCAUACCACUAACCAGGUGAUGAAAUGUACAACCAGUACGCUAAUAUCAUUUGGCAACUUGCAAAUCAUGCCACCAACCAGGUGAAGAAGGAAUUCAUCUUCAUGCUACAAACCAGGUGAUGAAAUGUACAACCCGUACUCUCCUUCAUGCCACAAACCAGGUGAUGAAAUGUACAACCUGUACUCUAAUAUCAUUUGGCAACUUGCCAUUCAUGCCACCAACCAGGUGAUGAAAUGUGAUGAAAGGUGAUGAAGGAACUCACCUUCGUACCACCAACCAAGCGAUGAAAGCAAUUCACAAUUCAUUCCACCUACCAGAAGAUAAGUGGUACAACUUGUACAUGUGAACUCCUAGCAUCACAAAUAAUCAAAAACCCUCAAGCUUGACAACUCAACUAGGGGAGCACUUAGGCCCAACAAGAGUUAUAGUCACCAACAAAGUCUUAUUGCAAGCCAACAACAACUUCAGUGCAUGGCAUACGAAGAUCAAGCUAUUCAGCCCUCUUGCAUCUGCUUCAGACAUCUCCCUUCUGUAACAAUGCAAACACUACAACUCGUAGAAAGCUUCACACUCUUGAUCAAGACAGUGUGAAGCAAAACCAAUUUAUGGUGCCAACAAAAGCUUCAUCAAAGGAGUUCAACCACAAUUCUCAAAAAGCUUCACACGCUCUUGAUCAAGACAGUGUGAAGCAAAACCAAUUUAUAGUGCCAACAAGAGCUUCAUCAAUGGAAGGCAACCACAAUUCUCAAAAGUUUCACAUACACUUGAUCAAGAUAGUGUGAAGCAAAACCAAUUUAUGGUACCAACAAGAGCUUAAUCAAUGGAGGCCAACCACAAUUCUCAAAAGCUUCACACACUCUUGAUCAAGACAAUGUGAAGCAAAACCAAUUUAUGGUGCCAACAAAAGCUUCAUCAAUGGAGGGCAACCACAAUUCUCAAAAGCUUCACACACCCUUGAUCAAGACAGUGUGAAGCAAAACCAAUUUAUGGUGCCAACAAAAGCUUCAUCAAAGGAGUUCAACCACAAUUCUCAAAAGCUUCACACUCUUGAUCAAGACAGUAUGAAGCAAAACCAAUUUAUGGUGCCAACAAGAGCUUCAUCAAUGGAGGGCAACCACAAUUCUCAAAAGCUUCACACACUCUUGAUCAAGACAGUGUGAAGCAAAACCAAUUUAUGGUACCAACAAAAGCUUCAUCAAUAGAGAGCAACUACAAUUCUCAAACCUUCGAGGCAAAUUCAAGACUGCUCGAAGCAAAUUCAAUUUAUAUGGUUCAUCCAAACCUUCGACUACUACAAGGUGUGGCUUACAUCACAAUCUCUUGCUCAACAGUGUGGAAGCAAAAUUUGUAUAUGUUGUCUCUCCCACAUUUUCAAAUUUCUAGUUUCCCAAAAAAAAAGGGAAAUUCAACAAAGCUUCAUCAAUGGAAGACAACAACAAAUUCUCGAAAGCUUCACACUAUCUUGAUCAAGAUAGUGUGAAGCAAAAUCAAUUCGUUGUACCCAACAAAGUUUCACCAACAAAAGCUUCAUCAAUGGAGGACAACUACAAAUUCUCAAAAGCUUCACACUAUCUUGAUCAAGAUAGUGUGAAGCAAAAUCAAUUCAUGGUACCCAACAAAAGCUUCAACUCCAAAGUUUCACCUACAAAGCUUCAACUACAAAAGCUUCACCCACAAAAACUUCACCCACAAUAGCUUCACCCAUAAAUUCACCCAUAAAAGCUUCACCCACCACAAAAGCUUCACCUACAAAAGCUUCACCCACAAUAGCUUCACCUAUAAAAGCUUCACCCAUAAAAGCUUCACCAACAAAAGCUUCACCCACCACAAAAGCUUCACCCACAAAAGCUUCACCCACCACAAAAGCUUCACCCAUAAAAGCUUCACCACAAAAGUUUCACCCACAAAAGCUUCCCCCACCACAAAAGCUUCACCCAUAAAAGUUUUCCCCACCAUAAAAGCUUCACCAACAAAAGCUUCACCCAUCACAAAAGCUUCACCCAUCACAAAAGCUUCACCUACAAAAGCUUCACCUACAAAGCUUUACCUACAAAGCUUCAACACAAAAGCUUCACACUAUUUUGAUCAAGAUAGUGUGAAGCAAAAUCAAUUCAUGGUAUCCAACAAAGCUUCAACCUAAAAGCUUCACCUACAAAGCUUCACCUAUAAAGCUUAAUAUAUAUAUAUAUUUUUUCUAAAAUUCAAAAAUUCAAAAAUUUGAAAAUUCAAAAAAAAAAAAAAUUGCCUAGGCCUCUCGUCUUUGGGCCUAACAACUUUCAUAACACUAUAUAUGAAGGAGGAGUUUUGGGCUACCACUUAAAAAGGAAAAUGGUGAAUUUUUGUUACUUUGGAAACUUGGCUACUAGCAAGACACCUCCUUCGUCAACUCCCUCGACCGGAAACUUGGGGGACUCCUACAAUAUGCUACUGCACCUUGAUACUCGGAAGUCUCACGACCACUCAGUCACUUGGAUUUUUUCAAGUCUCCAACCAAGAAGUUUUCCUCACUCGGGAAAUUAAGGGAGCACUACCUCAACCUACAUGUUUCACUCACAAAGCUUCAACAUACAAGAUUCAACAAAAGGAAAAAUUCAAAGAACUUAGUGAAGAAGGUCUUGGUGUAUUUAACACAAUACGUUGAAAUGAAGCAAAGCUUAUUUAUUGAUAUCUCCAAUAAGUUACAAAUAUGUACAUAUACAUGAAUCAAAAUAAACAAACAAGAGGGAGCCUUCACAAAGGUUGCUCAGGAAAAGUCUUAGCAGUCGGCAAAGCCCCAAAAAGAAAAGGCACCAAAGGGUGAUUAUUCGGAGCCUCAGUACUAGGCAGAACCCCAGAAAGAGGAGGCACCGAAGGUUGAUCAUUUGGAGUUUCAUUACGCGAUACAACCCCAGAAGACGAAGGCAAUAAAUGCCUUUAGAACAAACCCAUAAACCUCUGAUGAUCAAGUAAAAUCUGACCAUCAGAUUCCUGCAGCUGGUCGAGCUUCCUCUUCAUAUUUGUAGCAUAGUCAUGUGCGAGCGUAUGCAAUUAUUUAUUCUCAUGUUUGAGCCUUCUGAUCUCCUGUUUGAGACUUAUCACUUCAACUGCCAAUGAUUCAACUUGGCGAGUUUGAGCAAAUAAGGGUUGCGCCAUAUUAGACACAUAACCUGCACACUGAACACUGAGAGCCAGAGAAUCCUUAACAGCCAACUCAUCAGACCGUUUGGAAAGUAGUAUGUUAUCUUUGGGAGUGAGAAGGUUCAUGGCCACCACCGCAGCGGUCAUAUCAUUCUUCAUCACAGAGUCCCUAACGGUAAGAGGACCAGUAAGGGAUAAGAAGAAUGGGCGCCAUAUGUUGUCUUGAGAAGGCAUGGCUGCCUCUUCACCAAAGUUCAAGUCAAAACGACAAUCGGAUGGGCCAGACAUUCUUAGAAAUGAUGAAGCAGAAAUGAGGUGCAAUAAAUCUCUGAAGUAAUGGGAAAAUUCCUACAAGCAAUAACUCUCUGUACUUCUUGCACACAAUUGGUGCCCUUAUAAAAGAAAGGGCAACAUGGUCGUUGGUUCAAAAAUCGAAGAGGCACCACUCUCCGGAUUCCGAAGGGGCACCACUUUCCACACGCAACAUCAGCUCUUCGGGUACCACAGAUAACUUUGCCAAAGAUCUCUGACAAAGUUUAAACACAUAAAUUUUGAAGGUCCAGCUACCCUACUAUUACCCACAAGGGUAAAUGAACAUCACCACUGCUUAAUAACUAGAAAGUCCCAAUGUAUGUCAACCUCCGUGAUCCGUGGCAAGGCAGACUGGCAAAAAUGCCCAACCUUUACUCACAUUCGAGAAAACACUCCCAACAAGAUUGCUUGCUCAAAAAUCGAAGAGGCACCGCUCUCCAAAUCUCGAGAGCCAGACUUCCAACAGGAUUACUUUCUCAAAAAUUGAAGAGACACUGCUCUUCGAAUCUCAAGAGUCAGACUCCUAACAUGAUUGCUUUCUCAAAAAUCGAAGAGGCACCGUUCUCUGAAUCUCGAGAGCCAGAUCUCCGACAGGAUUGCUUGUUCAAAAAUUGAAGAGGCACCGCUCUCCGAACUUCGAGGGCCAAAUUUCCUUGGAUAAAGCUUGUCUGCAAUCUUCACACACAACAUCAGCUUUCCAGAUACCACAUACCACUUUUUCAAAGUGCUCUAACAAAGUUAAAACACGUGAAGCUUGCAGCUCCCACUACAUCGCUAUGACCAAGAAAGGUAAAGGAAUAGCACUACUACUUGUUGUUAAGAAGACUCCUAUAUAUGUCAACCUCCAUCCUCCACAACUAGGUAGACCUGCAAAUAUAAAAAAAAAAUGCUCAACUUUUCUUCACAUCCGAGAGGGCACUCUCAGCAGAGUCUCUCGAAAUACUCAGCUUCUUUUCCUCCCAAUAAUACCUCUGCAAACAAGACACACCAGAGCAAGAGUAUCUCAUAUCAUUAGGGUUAAAAGCAAGAGUAUCCCAUAUCAUGUUUUUUCCCUAUCUUUUCCUUUGGCCUUGUUUUUACCUACAAGAUAAGGAGAAAGAGAGCAAUCAGUCAGCACUUGGAAUCAAGCUUCCAGUCAGGAACUGACUGCCUGGAACCCCUUGCCUGAUUACUUACCUGGCAUUGCUCUCGAGUACUCAUCUUCAACAUCUUAUGCUUCCAGAGAAGAUACCACAUCUGCCUGAGGAACAGAUAGGGCAAAUGAGAAGGAUACAAGGAAUCAUGUGGAGACAAGCGUAACAAAACACGUGCCGAUACAUCCACUACUUUGUCAACAGCAAAAGUAUCCCAUAUCAUCAGGGUUGAACGUACUCUAGAUUUGAUGGACUUGUUUUGACCCUCAAAUUCUUGAGUCGGCCUUAUACUCUGGAGGAAACCAGAAUACCCUCCAGCCCAGUUCAAGAAUAAGCCUGUGGAAAGUUACUUCUUCAAAAGCAAAAGUAUCUCGUAUCAUCUCUUCUCCAUUUGCUUCUCCUUAUCCUUGUUGCUGUUUACAACACAAGGAGAAUGAGAACAAUCAACAGGAAGCCGAAGUCGAACCUCCGAUCCAGGUUGCUUGCUUAGAAGUCUAAUUGCUUACCUUGUCUGUUACCUCUUUCGGCAAAUCUCCUAGCUCGGCGACUUGGGGGACUCCUACUAUAGGGUUUGUAUCGCACUUGACCAAGCCCGAAACUACAAGUAAGCUUCAAGUGAAAUUGAUACAUUACCUUGUGCAUCUUCAUCGGUUAAAGAUACCACCCUUGGAUGGAGGAAAAGUACUUCCAAAGAAGAUGCCACAUCUACAUAUGAGACAGAUAAGGCAAGUGAAAAUGAUACCACACUUCGGUACUUAGAAGUUUCGUGAUUACUCAAUAGCUUGGAUCUUGCAAGUCCCCAACCGAAGAACUUCCCUCACUCGGGAACUUAGGGGAGCACUGUUUGUACCAUACUUGACCAAUCCCGAAACUACUAAGCACCUGUCAACGUUAUACCGUCAAGGACCCAGAAGAGUUUCCUUCCAACCAGGAGCCAAUCACAGCGCGACACAUGUCGACAUCAGAAGCCAAUCAUAGCGUGACACGUGUCAACAUCAGAAGCCAAUCACAACACGACACGUGUCAAUGUCAAAAUGAAACUAGAAACUCUCUUCUAUAAAUAGAGAUCAUUCUCUCACAAUAUUUCCGAAUGUCAUUUGUACUAAAUCAUUCAUUAGUACUCACUAAAAGAAAGCUUAAACCUAUGUACUUGUGUAAACCCUUCACAAUUAAUGAGAACUCCUCUACUCCGUGGAAGUAGCCAAUCUGGGUGAACCACGUACAUCUUGUGUUUGCUUCCCUGUCCCUAUCCAUUUGCUUACUUAUCCACACUAGUGACCGGAGCAAUCUAGCGAAGGUCACAAACUUAACACUUUAUGUUAUACCAAAGUCCUCGUUGAUUUUGUGCAUCAACAGAUUUACUUGACGAUAACUCGUCCUGACAUCAUUUAUUCAAUGCAUGUCUUGAGUCACUUCAUGCAUGAGCCACAUAAACCUCAUAUGGAAGUAGCACUUCGUGUUCUAAGGUACCUCAAAGGCACACCAGGUCAAGGUCUUUUCUUUUCCUCACAAAACAAAAUAGUUUUGAGAGCUUACUGUGACUCGGACUGGGCAGGUUGCCCGAUGACUCAAAGGACUACUACAGGAUAUUGCAUAUUUUUUGGAUCCUCUUUAAUUUCUUGGAGAUCAAUGAGACAGAAGACAGUGUCAUUAUCUUCAGCUGAAGCCGAGUAUAGAGCUAUGACAGGUGCUUAUUGUGAGCUUUCAUGGCUUCGAUACCUUCUUAGAGACCUAAAUUUAUCACAUCUAGGGGCUGCAACCCUACACUGUGACAACCCAGCAGCUUUACACGUAGCUACUAACCCAAUCUUCCAUGAACGAACUCGACACAUAGAGAUUGAUUGCCAUUUUAUCAGAGACAAAAUUCAAGAUGGUUCAGUUAUAACAAAACAUGUCUCUUCAUCACAACAACUUGCAGAUGUGUUCACAAGGGCGUUGGGGAAGGAUGCUUUCUUAGCUAUGUUACGCAAGUUGGGAGUUCUAGAUAUACACUCUCCAACCUGAGUGGGAGUGUUGGAACGUCAACUCUAUCCCACAAAUUUACAGAUAUAUUAGCAACCAAGUAUAUACUUUGAUUGUAAUUGAAUAUAGUUGACUUUGUAUAGAAUAAUUUACUUGAUUGUAUUCCUUGAUUAUAGGAUCACAGUUAUAUAUAUUUUUCAACUCAAUGAAUGAAAGAAUUAUUCUGGCAAACAUCCUUUUGUCAUUCUUUACAAUACUUAUAUUAUGUGCAUAUAUUUAUAUACGUAUGCUUUCAAGUUUAAUUAUAUUAUGUUAUCAAGCUGUCAAUAUUUCAGUCAUACUGAUCUAGUAUGAAUGAGCAGAUUCAUGUGGUGGACUUUGUGAUCCUUUGCAUCGGGCGAUUCAGCGACGUUCCAAACAUUCCCGAGUUCCCUCCAAACAAGGAACCAGAAGCAUUUCACGGAGAGGUUAUACACUCCAUGAAUUAUGCCGACAUGGAUUACGAAAGCGCAGCUAAAUUUGUGGAAGGAAAGCAAGUAACUGUUGUGGGAUUUCAGAAAUUUACAAUGGACAUUGCGAUGGAGUGCUCAACCGCAAAUGGUAAUUAUACUAAACUGAGAAUUUAAAUUCCACAUUACACAAGUUCAAGAAGUAGCUCAGCAAUAAUUUGACCAUUUUUAUAGAUUGUUUGUGUUGCAUUUUCCCUUAAUUCAAUAGUUGGUAAUAUUCAGGGGUUGAAAAUCCAUGCACAGUGUUGUACAAGACAGACACUGGAAUCUUCCUGACUAUCUUCCAUGGGGCUUUCCCAUCGCAUACUUAUACUUCAAUCGCUUCUCGGAGCUCUCUUGGUACACAAGCCCGGUGAAGGCAUCCUGCUCAGUCUCCUUGCAACAAUUAUUUCACCUGUGGUAAACUUCAUUUUGCUAACCCUAAUUAUGCCUUUUGAUUGUGAUGCUUAUAGAUAAACUAACAAAACUUAUAAGGAUUGAACAGAGAUGGGGGUUUUCGAAAUUUGUCGAAAGCUAUAAAAAUAAGAAGCUUGGUUUAGCCAAGUAUGGAAUGGUACCUAAGCACAGUUUCCUUCAAGAAAUCAGUUCUUGUAUGAUAGCAACAGUACCGGAAAAGUUCUUUGAUCGAGUCCGAGAGGGAAGCAUCAUACUGAAAAAAGUCUCCUGGCGGCUUUGGCUUUUGCCAAGAUGGGAUUCUGGUUAAUGGUGAAGCUCCCCUGUGAAGUCAGAUUUGGUCAUCUUGGCUACUGGGUUUAGGGGCGAGAAAAAGCUCAAGGACAUGUUUGUGUCUCCCACCUUUCAGGACUACAUCCUCGGUUCGCCUAAGUCCAUAUUACCCCUUUACAGGUUAAGCUCAUUUCAUAGACCGUACCACAUUUACUGAUUACAUCUCUUAAAUAACAAAUUGUCUAUUUGGGUCUAAUUUCGAAUGACGUGCGAUCUGUAAAUGUGGCACAAAUGUUUCUGUUAGGUACUUUUAUUAGAUACAGCAUUUGAAUGGGAAACUCACGUAUGAUUUUAUCUCAAUCAGGGAAUGCAUACAUGGAAGAAUUCCACAGCUAGCAGUAAUUGGAUUCUCCGAAAGUAUUCCGAACUUAUACGCCUCCGAGAUGAGAUGCAGAUGGCUAGCGGAGCUUCUCGGAGGCACAUUUAAGCUACCAAGCAUAAAAGAGAUGGAGAAAGAUGUGGAAAAAUGGGACGCAUACGCGAAGCGAAGCGAUACGCUUCCAGCCAAUACUACCGGAGAUCAUGCAUCGUGCCCUCCAUCUGUGGUACAAUGACCAGUUGUGCAAGGAAAUGGGAUGGAACCCCAAAAGUAAGAAGGGACUCUUUGCUGAAUUGUUUGAGCCUUAUGGCCCCAUGGAUUAUGCUUCCUCUUGAAAUGGUCAACAGCAACAUAAUAAAAGAUUAAUUUUCCUUGUAUUUUGCUGCAUAAAAGCUCAUGUUUGAACCCGUCGUUGUAUUCAGGCACUUGUAUUUUGUUGCAUAAAAUUUCAUGUUGAACCCGUCGUUGUAUUCAGGCAAUGCAUCUUUAAACUAAGAUGACGGUUUUGUUCCUCAUUUGCGUUUUAUAUUUCCAACCGAAACGAAAGC